GUAUGUCCUUUAUGUUAUUAUUCUUUAAUAUCAAAUAUAUGUUGAGUUAAUUCGAUCGUGAUACGAAGUUUACAUUUUCCUUCUCUUCCUCCUUGUUCCACUAUAAGGUACGUAGUAGUUUUCAAUAAUAACUGUCACUGGGUGGUGAUUAUUAGGUGUUCUCCUCCUGAGUUCUUAUGAAUCUGUAAGAUAUAAAUAGAUCGUCUAAGGUUGGUAUGUUGUAUGGUUAGAGACAUUUUUGCUUAAUAAUCCAGUAGGAAUCAAGGAGCUUGAAUAGUGAUGGAGAUAGCAAGAGUUCACCAUUAAAAUUUUCUAAUUCCACAUUUUUCUUACAAGAUUCCAAGACAUGUAUCUAGUGGCUGCUGUAUCUGCUAAACUGAUGUUUUCAAUCUCUAUGGCCAUUUGCAAUUAUUAUUACAUGUCCUAGCUUAUCUGGAUGAGAACAUUUUGAUCUAGUUGCUUGUGCGCUUGUUUGAUAUGAUUAUCUUUUCUGCUGCAAGAUUGUGCUUUUUUGAAAGGUUAUAUCUAUCUCUUACAUUGCAAAAUUAUGUGUGCAGCAAAGAGGCAUAUAGAAUUUGUCGGAUUUAAUCGUAGAAUUGUGUAUCAAGUUGGUUAUAUGCAUUAUCUCUCAUUUUCACUUGCACGAAGAACCACUAGCUUGUUUUGAGAUCAUGGGUAUACUAAUUUUUUUUUUUACUCAAUUCCUGUAGGAUCGUGUGUCAUUUAUACUACUUCUUGAGCAAAGUGUUUAUAUGCAUGACCAUUUUCACUUGCAGGAAGAACUCCUAGCUUUGUUAGUCUCUUAUUGUUCAGGUCAUGGGCAUAAUUUUUUUUUUUACCCAAUAUAAUAGUAAUCUGAAAGUCCAGUUGGACCUUGUUUCAUUGGUACUAUGUUGAGCAAGUUGGUUACAUGCAUCAUCUCCCAAUUUCGCAUGCAGGAAGUAAUCCUAGCUUGUUUGUCUCUUAAUGCUCAGAUCAUGGCCAUACUUUGUUUUGUUUUGUUUUUUACCCAGUAAUAGUAAUCUGAAAGUCUAGUAGGAUCUUGUUUCAUUGAUAUUACUUUAUUGAGCAACCAUAUAGCAUAGCAUCCAUAUAGCAUGUCCUAGCAUCUCCUCUAAGUGCUUACGGUAGAUUUCAUAUUCCGAAAUUCAAUCUUCAUAAAUUGAAAAUAAUUCAAGACCUUUUCAUUUUGUAGAAGCCAACUGUAGCGAAUGCGNAAGUGCUUACGGUAGAUUUCAUAUUCCGAAAUUCAAUCUUCAUAAAUUGAAAAUAAUUCAAGACCUUUUCAUUUUGUAGAAGCCAACUGUAGCGAGGGGGGGGGGUGGUUGGGGCUCUCACUUGAUAUGGCCUUUAAGAGAAAGAUACCGGAAUGCCAAGGCCUUUUCAAGAUUUCUAUUGGUCUUAAUUAUGAAUCUAAUUCAGCAGCAUGUGUGAUGGAUUUGAAAGAAGUUGAUUGUCAGCUUUUGCUUGGAAUUCAUUACUUCUUUGAAAAGCAAAAUAAGCAAUGCAAUAUUGGAAGGAAACCUAGUCGCUAUUUAUAGUGAGGAAUAUCUGUUUGCAGAAUGCAGAAACAAAUUUUUCAAGAGAAACACUAAGUCUACAACCCAAAAAGGUUGUGGGAUUGGCACCCCUAAUCCAAGGGUUGAAAUCAAAAUUCUUUGUAGAUUUUAGUAAUAAAAAAGGGGUGAUAAGACUAGUGAAAAAAUAUGGGCCCUUGGAUAAUAGAGUUGUACUAUUACAAUAGGUGAAGAAACUAGCAAAGUUUAAUGUAAAUAGGCAGAACUAAUACAGCGAAAGGUAGUUAGAGGCCUUUUUAUGCAAUAUUUUAAAAAGUAGAAAUAGUUUGUAGGCAAUAUAAAGCACCGUUUGUUUGUAGGCAGCAGAUAUGUAGGUGCAUAUGCAUCAUGUAUGAAUAAAAAUUAUCAAACAUAUGAUAAACAAUUAGAUGAUAAACAGAAAUAUUAGGAAGAAGGUCUUACCUACUGAAACAACAAAUAUAAGAGCAUUGCUAGGUCUACAACCCAUAUUGGGUUGUAAUCCUACAAUCACUCCAUCCAAAGCCCACUUUUCCUUUACAAAUCUUAUCACUCAGGACCCUUGGAUAAGGGAUUGUAGAGAUUACAACCCCUCUUUGGUUGUAGACUUAGCAUUUCUCUAGAUUUAAUGUAGGACACUGAAUAUUAUACAUGUGAACAUUUUACAUUACUUAUGAAAUAGAAAUACUACAAAUACAAGUAUGAAAUAAUAAUUAUUAAAAAAUAAUAAAUUUUUAAUAUCAAUUUUGAUUUUUGAGUGUUUGAGUUGCUAAUCAUAAACAUGUGCUCAACCUACUUGCGUUGCUUAAAAUGCAAGCUAGGAAGCAGCUAUCCAAUGUGCAUAUUAUGCAGUGCCUAUGCCGUUGGUGGUUGCUGCUAUGCAGAAGAGUUAAGCAACGUAUCCAUAUGUGCUGGUGCUUUUUAUAAGUAUCAUUUAGCAUAAUGUGAGCAUACACUUCUUUUUAUCUUCCUUCAUUUGAUAACAAGAGCAUAUGCUAGUUAGUUUUAGACUCUACUGCAUUACCUACUCUCAAAUUGCUGUAUUUAGUGGGUAUUAUGGUAUUUAACAAACAGAUUCUUUCAUUUCGAGAGGGAAAUGUAAAUCAUCAAACAUAUGAACUUUGGAUGACAUGGUUUGCAAGAUUAAUUUUGCUUGAUUCACAUGAUGCAACCUAGAAAAGUUUAAAAAUCGUAUAGCGUCUUGAAACGUGUUAAAUUUUGUCCUUAAUCUCUCUUGUUCUUACCACAUGGUAAGAUCCUGGGUUGAUCAGCCUACAGAUUUUCAUUCACCGAGGCAGCCUGUUGCUAGUUAAGUUGCCAACUGUUAAGAACCUGGCAUCCUUAAUUGUUGGCAUAUAGAGUUAACAUUGUAGUUAGCUUCUUUGUCAAGUUGGAUGGUCCAUUUUUUUGUAUGAAAAACAUUAUUUUUUUUUUCUUGCUAACUGAUAUUGAUGCAAUUUGGAAAGGAGAAUUUAUGUUGGAAGUGUAACAUGAUGAUUGUAUAAAGGAUGUAGAAAUAAAAUUACACGGUCUGGAUUUUUGUAGAGUUGUACUUGGGAUAAGAGUUCCUAGCUAGGUAUUGUGAAAAUAAGCUUUUAUUGUAACCUAGCUAACAGUUGCAGCAUAUAUUAUAAUUUAGUUUUUUGAGUAUUAUUUUUAGACUGUUGACUUGAUGAAGCAAUUUAACUUGAGCGAUAAAACUAUCAAAAUAUUGUAGAUUCUUCCGUAAAGUUGAAAAUCUAAAAAAUGCCCAAUAAUUCUAUUUUUUCCAUAAUAGAUGCUUAUGUUGUUAGCUAUUCUUAGCAAGCAUAUCAACAAUCCUUGGGUCCGGUGCUUGUCAAUUAAGAGUUGAAUAUCACAAUAGCUCAAACUGUUUUCUUCUUCAUAAUCUCUGUCAUCCCUUUUUACUCCCAAUCCUUUCCAUUAAACAUAUUCAGUGGCAGUUCUGUGAGCUAUUAAUUCUUGUAACAAGCCUAGCAGGCUUUACCUCCUCCCGAAAGCUGCCACAGGUACUGAUUGUAAGCUGCCAUCAUCUAGGCUUGUUCCUCCCUCCGUGGCGGAGGAAUGAACUGCCUGGGAGAAACAGUUGCUACCCUUGAUUGUGUUAGCAUCUUCUCCUAUCAAGGGUGAAUUAAAAUUUCUUUGCUCAUGCAUCUUCCCUGCAAUCUCUAGACAAUGACCUAUCCACCCACGUUAUAUAUCUUGUGACCCAACAUACUCUAGUCUGCUUUGUUCAAAAUAUGUGGAGGCACUUAUUAAGUAUUGGAUUUUCGGAAGUUAAGGGCAUUCAAAAAGCAUAAGAGUAGACCAUUGGGAAUUUCAAGUACAUUUGUAGCAGCAUCUUCCUCGGGGUCAAUAGGAUUUAAAUUUUGUUUUUCUACAUAUGGUUGGACUAUAUCUAUAAAAGGUAUUGAUGAUGAUCCGUUUUGCUACAUAUGGAUAUAAUAAUAACUGUAGGUUAUUUAUGAUAUUUAAUUUCAGGACUUGUCAUAAUGGUUUGCUUCUGAGCACCAAUCAUUUCUUACAAGUAGAGAAAUUUAUCCUUUCCCUAUGUUUUGUUGAGGUCUUCGCAUAUUUGAUUUGAUCUGCUUUGUUGUUUCCUAUUCCCUCUCUUAUGAAGUGAUGCUUGAUUGUAAUAUACUUUGUUUGGCUGUCACUGAUAGUGUUUUUGGUCAUUGAAUUGUCACGAAAGGUUAUAUCAGCUUCCUCGUGUUUUCUCUAUUAUCUUUCAAAAUUCUUCAAAAUCAUUAGGCUUGAGAAGUUACAUUGCUGGUACAAACAUAUUUAGUGUUAGGCCAACGUAAUGGUACCCUUUUUUAUUCUUGUUUAAUGUGUAAAAUGUAAACCAGAUCCAGGAGAAUUUCCAUAUUUGAAGGUGCUUCUCAUACUAUUUAUGUUUUUGGCCCAACCACCAUCACAAUUACAAAGCAACAUAAUUUUUGUAAGUUUUUCCAUGCAUGCUUCUGUUGUUACCAGUCUAUUUAAUGUAUCUUUAACCUUUUUUUCUCAAUAAGAAAAUGAAUUUAUGCUGCUUUUUGCAUGAAGUAGGAAGAUAAGCAAGUUGUGGCAUAAUAUUCGAUUUGCGAACAGGAUGCAUAGCUUCCUAUUCUAAGUUGUCUUGUAAGUUUUUCAAUGACAACCAAAGUUGCCGGCAUUGUCUUGUAAGUUUUUCAAUCACAACCAAAGUUGACGACGUCAUCUUGUAAGUUUUUCAAUCACAACCAAAGUUGCUGACAUCGUCUUGUAGUUAUUCACUCAGAGCCUUUUAAGAUGCUCUUCACAUAGUUGUUAUGCCGAAUGAAAGAGAUUUUUAUUUGGGAAAAGUAUAUAAAAGAGCCUUUUUGGUGAGCAUAAUAAAUAUUUGGUCUCCAAAAGUCGUAAGCAUCAAAAAUGCCCUUCUAAUUAUGAUCCUUUUAAGUAUUAGUAUAUCAAGUUCUUCAUUGAAAUACCCAUUGUGCUGUUUUUUUUAUUCGUCGGUCCUCCCAACCAUAGGUGCACCCUAUCUACCGUCUUCAAACGUCUCCUCUCUCCCUUUGGUAGUGUUUGUUUGGUAGUAGAAUAAGGAGAGAAUAAUUAAACAUCUCUUUGACAAUUGAAAAUAGGAAGAAGAUCCAGAGCAAGAACAUAUAUAAUGAAAAACAUACAUUUGUAAGCUAAAAUAGUGAAUACAUAAAUUUGUAAGCUAGGAUGAUAAAAACGUAAAUCUCUAAGUAAAUAUUAAACUAAUAUUUAAACCAUGGUUAAAGAUAUGUUUGCUGAUGGAUUAUAAUGGCUAGGGCAUUUGUGCUGGAGCAUCCAAGAUAUUUUAAACUCCUUAGGGGAAUUAAUGAUAGCUUCAUACUUUUGACCAGCAUGAGUGAAAUUGACCAUUUCCAUUUUAAUGUAAUCGACUAAGAAAUAGUGAGGCCUAAAUUACUCGUUUGUAUUUUGCAUUGUUUCAUUUAAAUUCUAGAAUCAUUUCUUGUUCUUUUCUUGAAAAGCAUCAAAUCAUUAUUAUGAAAGCAAUAAGCUUAAAAAUUGUUUAAAUUAUUUGAAGUUAUUUUGGGAGAUUGUGCAUUUAUUGUUUACCCCACCACCAGCACCACUCCAAAAGGAGCCUCUUUUGCCCACCAUCGGGCACCGGGCUGCAGUGGAUCUUCUUCUGUAUGAACGAGAUCACCCAAAGCUACAUGAGAAAUUCAUCGGCCAUUUUGAUGUGGCAUUACAAAAAGCAUAUAAGUUUGAGAGUGUAGAAUUUAAUUACUUUGUUUCUCGUUGUCCCAAUGAAGACUUUACUAGUGUUAUUUGGUAGCGACAAAAGUAGAGAGUAGUUUGAAGUGCAAAUUGAUCUACCAGUAUUGCGAACUAAUUUUAGAUUAGGAUAUAAAGGAGUGGAUACUGGAGUACAAUCAAAAUAACCAAAUUUUCUAAGAAUCUUUUCGAUAUAAUGAGACUGGAUUAAAAAUAAACCAUUAUUUUCACGAAUAAUUUUAAUUCCCAAAAUAAUAUCAGCCUCCCCCAUAUCUUUCAUAUCAAAAUUGCAAGAUAAAAAAUUCUUAGUGUUUUCUACUUGUUGAAUAUCGGUAAAUUAACAUGUCAUCAACAUACAGACAUAUAAUAACACCUUUACCAUUUGAAAAUUUACUAUAGACACAUUUAUCAGAUUGAUUAAUUUUAUAACCAUUGGAAAGAACAAUCUAAUCAAACUUUUGAUGCCAUUGUUUAGGUGCUUGUUUAAGCCCAUACAACGACUUAACAAGUUUACACAUUUUAUACUCUUGUCCAGGAACAACAAAGCCCUCGGGUUGUUCCAUAUAAACUUCUUUAUCUAAUUCUCUAUUUAAGAAUGCAGUUUUGACAUCCAUUUGAUGAAUAAUCAAACUAUACAUAGAAGCAAGAGCAAUCAAAGUUCUAAUAGUCGCUAAUCUGGCAACAGGUGCAUAAGUAUCAAAAUAAUCAAUGCCUUCUUUUUGUGUAAACCCUUUGGCAACAAGUCUUGCCUUGAAUUUAUCUAUGGUGCCAUUUACUUUGAUAUUCUUUUUGAAAAUCCAUUUACACCUAAUAGGUUUACAUCCAGGAGGAAGAUCAACUAAUUUCCAUAUUUGGUUGACCAUAAUUGAGUCCAUUUCAUUAUUUAUCGCUUCUUUCCAAAAAGCGACAUCAGCAGAUUCCAUUGCCUCCUCAAAUAUUGUGGGGGUCUGAGUCAAUGUUUAAACAAAAUUGAAAACUUUCUGUAAUCAUUUCUCUACUACCCUCAACAAGAAAAGUAUAAAAAUUUGGUCCAAAUAUUUUAGCAAUUCUAACUCUUUUACUUCUUCUAAGUUCUGGGGUUUCAAUUGCAACAUCAUUUUUCUCAUUGGAGUGUUCUUUACUCAAAAUAAGUUCUUUGGGUCUAGGAAUUGAAACAAAUCUGUUUUCAUCAAAUAUAACAUCUCUAGAUUCAAAAACUGUGUUGAUCUCAAUGAAGUCAUUAGAUUCAAUCACGUAAAAUCUGUAUGCUUUACUAUGUUGUGCAUACCCAAUAAAUAUGCACUCAAUUCCUCUUUCACCCAGUUUCUUUCUUUUCGGUUCUGGAACCCUCACAAUAGCUCUACAACCCCAAACUUUUAAAUAAUUUAAAUUGGCGUUUCUUCCCUUAAAUAAUUCAUAAGGAGUUUUAUCAUUCUUCUUUGUUGGGAUUCUAUUUAGUAGAUGGCAGGCUGUUAAUAAAGCUUCACCCAAAAAUUCAUAACUUAACCCAAAGUUAGAAAGCAUAGCAUUGACCAUUUCCAUCAAUGUUCUAUUUUUUCUUUCUACAACUCCGUUUUGUUGUAGAGUAUAAGGUGCAGAGGUUUCAUGUAUAAUACCAAUGGACCCAAAAAAUAAAGGAUCAUAAUAUUUUCCUUUGUCUGAUCUUAGGUAUUUGACCAUUUUCUCACAUUUCACCUCAACUUCAGAUUUAUAAAUUCUAAAUUUAUCUAGCGCUUCGUUUUUAGAAUGCAAAAGAUAAACAUAACUAUUUCUAGAAAAAUUAUCAAUAAAUGUAACAAAAUAUUUCUUUCCACCAAUAGUAGGAGAAGCAUGCAAGUCACAAAUAUCACUAUGUACCAAUUCAAGUAGAGUAAAACAUCUAUCAAUUUUAGAAAAAGACUUUCUAGUAAUUUUAGUGAGCAUGUAAGUAUUAAUUUUUCUAAUUUAUUAUCAAAAUUAGGAAUUAAAUCUAACGUAGUCAUAUCAUGUAAUCUUCUAUAAUUAACAUGUCCUAAACGAUUAUGCCAUAAAGAAGACGAGUCAGUAAUAUAGGAUGAAAUAUUCAUUUUAUUAAUAAGAUUGAGUUUGAACAUGCCCUUGAACAAAUAUCCUUUUCCUACAAAGAUUCCACUCUUCGACAAAAUAAAUUUGUCGGCCUCAAAUACAAGUUUGAACCCAAAUUUGUUAAGAAGACUUCUUGAAACAAGAUUCUUUCUAACUUCGGGUAUAUGAUACAAAUCGGUGAGAGUGAGAGUUUUUCCUGAUGUGAACUCGAGUUCCACGUUGCCCUUUCCUUUGAUUUGUGCUAUUGAGGAAUUGCCCAUAUAGAGAAUGUUUCCAUCCUCCAAUGCAUCAUAAGUUCUAAAUAAACUUCUCUCCUUGCACACAUGCCUUGUGGAACCUGAAUCAAUCCACCAAGCUCCGUCAUCUUCGAGUAUGUUAGCCUCAGAUAUCAUAGCCACAAAAUUUCCUUUGGAAUCCGGUGCACUUUCCCUGUUGAGGAACUGACAUUCUUUCUUGUAGUGACCCGGUUUACCACAAUGAAAGCAUGCAGCUUUCUUUUUCUUAUUUGUCAUGUUGUGGUUGAUCGGAUGCUUGGCUCUCUUUCGAUUUUCUUUUGUGGGUUGACGAGUUUUAUUAUACUCAUCUUCCGUCACAUACACUUUGGCACUCUGAGCAUCUUGCUCCUUUUUGCUAUAUUUCAAACGAUAUUUUUCUUCCAUGCGAAGAUGAUUAGCCAAAUCUUUAAGAGUAAUAUCUUUCUUUUUAUGCUUAAGAUUUUUCUUAAAGUCUUUCCAUGAUAGAGAAAGUUUAUUGAUAAUAGAGGCCACAAUUAUAAAUUCAUCCAUAUUCAUAUUAUGUUGAGUAAAUUGAUUGAGAAUAUGUUGAAUUUCAUGUAACUGAUCUAGAACAGAUCUACUAUCAACCAUUUUAUAGUUAUUAAAUUUGCAAACAAGAAACUUCUUACUUGUGCAUCCUUAGAUUUGUAUUUUACUUCAAGACCUUCCACAGUUCUUUAGCCGUUAUUACAUUCUGUUAGACGUCGAAAAGCGCAUCCGACAUAGCAUUUAGAAUGUUGCCUCGGCAUAUAUUGUCAUCUUCAACCUAUUUUUGUCUUCUACGAGUUUGUACAAUAGGUUCAUCAUCGUUUUCUUCUGGUCUUGGAGUAGUGAGGACAUAAGCAACUUCGAGAGUCGACAGAAGGAAAUAUAAUUUCUUUUGCCAGCGCCUGAAGUCCAUGCCAUCAAAUCUUUCUAGUUUGAUAAAGUUUGUUGCCAUCUCUUGUAGAGUAGCAGUCGACAUUAUCGGAUUUAAGCCUUAAGAUUGUUGGAACAGAUAGUGAAAAAGGUAUGAAAUAGAAAGAUGAAAAAGGCUUCAAGGCAUGUAGCAAUGCCACUUCUUAAGGCUUAAUUCGUCCCCACCGUUCAAUCAAUUUGGUGUGCACCGGGUCAACGAACACCCUCCCAAGAUACAAUGAAGCAUAAACCUCAACUACGUUUGCACACACGAAGUCAAGCCUUUGAGCACUCACUCGAUUAAGUUGUCAAAAAAAAAGAAAUAAGAAUGGAAUUAUUAUGAAUGGAGAGUUAAACUCUUCAACUAUUUCGUCUUAUGUUUCUGCAACCAACGCUGUGGACUUAUAUAGACCACGAACGGGUGCUUCAUGAAGUGACUAUUCAUGAACGGGUGUUUCAUGAAGUGGCCAUUCAAUUGUGACUUUUUAUUUGAUCAUAACUACCAAUUAGUUUUAUGAGUCAAAUUUAAUGAAUGUAAGAAUUAAUUUCAACGGACAUAUACUCGAAGAGACACACUAUAAAGAUGUGUCUUUUCAUGUCAUAUCCUUACACUAAAAGUCACAUCCUUUCACUCUAAGAGUCACACCCUUUGAUUAGAGUUGCAUCCACUCACUAAGGGUUGCAUCCACUCACUAAAGGUUGCAUCGAUUCACUAAGGAUCGCAUUCAUUCACUAAAAAUCAAUAAACAAAAUAUAUUAUUUUAAAAUUUUUCUUACACUUUACAACCUUCAUUAGCUAAUAGAAAAGCAUCCAAGAUGACCUCUUCUUCAGAAAUGUCGAUUAGGAUGUAGAAAUAAUUCCGUGCAAAGCUUUUUUAAGUCUUUUUUUUUAGGACCUUCGAAACUAUUUUGUGUAUUCCUCUUUAGUUUGCUUAUAAGCCCAAAAUUGUUAGCUUGCACAACUCCCUCAGUUUUGUGCAAUAGGUAAAUGUAAGAGUAGUCAAUAGGACAUGUGAGGGAUCUCCCCUCAUGAAUCUCUAAAGAUAAUAUAAUUAGGGAGGAAGAUAAUUAGUAAAAUUUAGACUACAAACACCACAAACCCUUUGUAAAUACAUUUUUUUUACUUUUUUUCCCUUGACUUUUGAAAACUUUUACAUUUUGCUCUCUUAAAAUUUUAGAAAUAUUUUGACAAGUUUACGGUGUUAAUGGAGAGGCUAAAAUGAUCAAAUUACCCUUGCUUGUUCUAGAAGAAAAAAUAAUUUUUAAAUAUAUACUACAUUUUAAAGAGCAUUUUUUGUAUAAAUGUAUGAAAUAAGAUGAAACAGUGAUGGAAUCCUGACGAAGAUGGGUCUACAAAAUGCAUCAACUUGAAAUUUUAAGUAAGUAAAAUAUAGGUUUUUGAAAGUUAAGAGAAAAACCAAAAAAAAAUGCUUAUGUAAGGAUUUUCAAUAUUUUAGCCUAAAAUUUACUGUACAGAAAUUUUAGUGAACCUUUUACUACUAUUAAUUAUUCAAACAUGCUAUGAAGGUUAAUAGUAUUGAGACAUUAGUGAAGGAUCAAAUGGCAACUAAGAGGGAAGGGAGUGAAUUAGUAGGAAAACAAAACCCAAGUAGAUUUUAUUGAAGAUAGUAAUUGUACAGCAAAAUAAAAGAAAAAAAAAGAGAAACAAACUUAGAUGACACAAAUAAAUUAUCCUAGUUCGGCCAUUUUGCCUACUCUAGUCCGAUCCUUCUACUCUUCAAGGUACUCAUUUAAUCACUAUCAUUUUGUCUUUGAAACAGGGCAAGACCGAAACCGCUUACAAUUACACUUUACAAGACUUCUAUUACAAUCUUUCAAUAAAGCUCAUAAUUAUAAAAUAAAGAACAAAAGAACAAUUAAUUAUAACUUACAAAUUUUUUUCCAAUUUGAAGGUUUGGCUUAAACAUUAUCCAAACCCCCUCUUUAAAUAUGUUACUCAUCAUUUCAAAUUUAUAAAAGAAGUAUGAUAUAAGGUUAAUUGAUUUUCAUUUGAAUUUCAACCAUAUUUGUAAAUGCAUUUUAAUUAAUACCAUAUUCCAAAUUUUUUUAAAGUCACACCUCAUUUGCAAAGCAUAUUUGAAAUUAUACUACAUUUGAAAAGCCAUUUGAAAUGAUAGCACAUUUGUAAAACUCUUUUGAAUUAUUACCACAAAUGCUAAGCUCUUUUAAAUUCAUUUGUAAAAUGCUUUUGAAUUAAUACUACAUUUAUAGAACUCUUUUGAGUUAAUACCACAUUUGUAAAACACUUCGAUCUUUUUGAAAUCAUCCCAUAAUGAAAUCACUUUUGAAUUUAAACUAUAUAUCAGACCUCUUUUAAUUCCAUACUACAUUAAAAAUAAUGGUUAAUUUUUUAUUAAGUUUAAAUCAAACCUAUGUGGUAGCUAGAUUUGUUAACUUCGUUAAGUUUACGGGCUCAAAUUCGAUAAAAGUACAAAGAAGCCCGCCAUAAUAUUGUUGUGGUACUUGCAUCCAAUUUGAUACAAUUUGAUUUUGUCCGGGCUAUUUUGAAAUUUUUGAUUGAACGACUAUCUUUGAUCAAUUUUGGUUCGGCUUGUGUCAUUUCAAAUCCAACUAAAACCUGAAAUUACUAUGCAAAAAAGUAAAUCCAAAAUUUAUUUGUAAUCAUCAAAAUUAUCAUUGCAUAAAAUCCAACACGUGGUGCUAUAGAGUCAUUUUCGAUGAUAUAGUAUCCAAAUUGAUAAUUGACACUGUUGAAGAUUGACGUCCUAGGACUACUCCCAUCCUAUCAUACUUAACUCUUUUAAUCUUUUGGACCUAGUCACCACCCAAAAUGAUUAAGAUGGAUUGAGAGUUUUAACCCUAUUAUAUCUUAUAUAUAGAACUACCUGGGGUCUCACAUUCUCCUUGCCUUAAGCCCUGACGUCCUCGUCAGGCUGAGACUCACAAGUACGAGGCGAUGUAAGACUCGUCUCGCUAACCUAAACCGACCUUAUGGUGAGUUGCGCUCCACCCAUAACAGUCAACAGCAUGAGAGCCUCGCUCUCCCCGUUGUACAAUCUUUGCUCAACCGAGACUAAUCUCAUACUUCCAGCUGGUAAUUAGCUCUGAUUCCAACUGUGACGCCCCACUUUCCAAAGCGUCACCCAUCCUAGGAUUACUCUAGUCCUAGCACGCUUAACUCUCUUAACCUCUUAGACCUAACUACCGCCCAAAAUGCUAUAGCGGGGUUAAGAGGUUUUAGCCCUAUUAUAUCUUACAUAUAGGACUACUUAGGGUUUCACAUUCUCUCAUUCUUUAAGCCUUGAUGUCCUCGUCAAGCUCAGACUCACAAGUAUCAGUCAAUGUAAGAUUCUGUCUCUGAAGCCUAAACCAACUAUGUGGUGAGCUGCGCUUCACCCAGAAUAGUCAUCAGCAUAAGAGCCUCGCUCUCGCCGCUGUAUAACCUGGCUCAGCCGAGACUUAUCUCACAUUUUCGGCUGGUAAUUGGCUCUAAUACCAACUAUGACGCCCCACUUCCUAAGGGGUCACCCCUAAUCCUAGCACGCUUAACUCUCUUAACCUCUUGGGCUGCACCUACUGCCCAAAAUGCUAUAUCCGGGCUAAAAGGAGAAUGAAACUGUUUUAACGGGAGAAGAAACUAUAACGCCCCAAAAUUUGACUAUAAAUGUUUAAAAAGAUUUCAAAAUAAUUUUAGAGGAUGAUGGCCAGUUUUAUAUGAUUUUGAACUCAAAUUGAGUCAAAAUGAAUUGUUUGAGGACGAAAAUUUCAAAACAGUUGAGUCUAAUCUGCCAUUGCACAAAUAGCCAUUUUGGAAAAACUUUUAACUAGGUUAUUGACAUCAGAUUUGGGCAAAAUUGGUCUCAUUGGAAAGAUCGUUGAGUUAUCUUUCUAACGCAACGUGAAUCUCCUUAAACGGAUAUCGGACGAAAGAGUUAUUUCAAUUUUUCUGACAGUCGUCGAUGCAGUCCUGAGCUUUGAGCUAGUUUGGGACUUUACCAUUUGUUAUGGGCUGUUUGGUAAAUUUGCUAAUUAAAAUUAUAACAUAUCAACUUAGGUGGUUAACUAUUAGUCCAACCAUAAUUUUUUCCAAGAAAAUGUUGAGUAAAAUGACUGAAACUCUUUUAAAUGGGCUGGUUUGAAUGGGAGAAGAGAAAAACUGUUUUAUUCCUAUUCUCAUCUUCUUUUUCCUAUUUUCCCUUCCUCUCAAUACCCUAGUUCUUCUCUCUUUUAUUCAGCAAUGAGAAGAAGGAUUUCUCCUUCAAAUUGAAGGAAUUUAGAAGGAGACUUUUGGAGAAGGAAACCCAUUUUCAAGUUAAAACUCUAGCUAGAGAACAAAGUAAGUAGAUUUUCGAUUUUGUACUUUGUAAAUAUCAAAGAGUGAAUAUUUUACGUUGCAUGCAUGUUUUUCUAUUCUCUUUGAAGGUCCCAAUCUAUCUUUUAUGAAUUGACUAUAGUUUUUGAAGAUUUUAUGACACUAUAUUCAAAUAUUGAAGCCCUAAAUUAGGGGUUUAUGCCCUAUUACGAGAUUUCCUUGUAAUUUUAGGGUUGGGACCCUAAGAGCCCAAGAUGAGAUCUUGAUCGUUAACUUUUAGUUCUUUCAACUUGAAUUUGGAGGCCAAUAUAUAGUUAUAUGAAUUGCCUUUGUUUUUAAGAGUUUUUGAUGAGUUACUUGUGUUUUAUGAGGCUUCAAAAUUGGGAUUUUGAUCAACUAGGAGAUUAAACUUUUAUAGUUGAUUUUAAGAGUUUAAAAUACUUAAAUUGAGAUGUCAAUCUUGUUCAAAUGUAUUGGAAAUGAAUGUAUGAUUGAGCUAAGUUGUUUGAUCAAAUUUGAACUUAGUUUGUUAAUAUUUCGUCCAAUUUAUGCUAUUUUCAAGUUGGACUUUUCCGAUUAGUUUUCGGAGGGUAAAAACAUCUUGUUAAGGUGUCGUUUGUUAAAAUUAAGUAUUCCAAACCCUUCUAUAGGAUUUAAAUGAGUUAUUUUAAGGUUGUUAUCUAUUUUGAGAGAGUUAAGCAUGCUAGGACUAGAGUAGUCCUAGAAUAAGUGAUUUCCUGGAAAAUGGGGCGUCAUAGUUGGUAUCAGAGUUAAUUACCAGCUGGAAGUGUGAGAUUAGUCUUGGUUGAGCCAGGAUUAUAUAGCGGGGGGAGUGAGGCUUUCAUGCUGUUGACUGUUGUGUGUUGAGCCCAGCUCACCACAAAGUCGGUUUAGGCUAGCAAGACUAGUCUCACAUCGCCUGAUAUUUGUGAGUUUAAGCCUGACGAGAACGUCAGGACUUAAAGAGGGAAAGAAUGUGAGACCUCAAGUGGUCCUAUAUGUAAGAUAUAAUAGGGCUAAAAUCUUUUAACCCGUCUAUAGCAUUUUGGGCGGUGGCUAAGUCCAAGAGGUUAAGAGAGUUAAGCGUGUGAGGACUAGAGUAGUCCUAGAAUGGGUGACCUCCAGGGAAUUGCGGCGUCACAAAAAUGAUCUCAUAAAUUGAACGCCUUAGGUAUCAAUUUCAUGACUUCUCAAUGUCAUCUAUAUAGUGACCAAGCAAUCAUAAAGUGACAAUUUUAAUGGCCCACAUUAGACCUUUUCUAAUUUAACGGUAUUGAAGAAUGCAAAUCGGUAUUCUUUUAACCGAAUUGAUCAAAAUCUACAGCCCUGAUCUUGAAUUUAAUAAUUCUAUCAUCUAUUCUAAAUAAUUGUUUGAUUAUGACUGUUUAUUUUGUGGUUGCUUGAAGUAGAAAAUGAUUCUAAAAAAUUGUGAUCGAACUUGAUUCUUACAAAGUUCAAAUGUCUUAGAUAAUGUUUUCGAUCGUCAAUUCAGAUGCCUCAUCUUUGAAAACGAGUGUAUAGAAAAAAAACGAAGGCCUUGGUGCAAUUAAUAGAACCCUAAUUCGAUUCAUUCAAGCCUUUCUAGCACGCCUCUUCUGUUAAUUGGUUUUUACCGUGUUCCUUGAAUCUUUGGUGGCUUUCAGAGUCUGAUCUGCAUAGACAUAUAUGAAAAACAACAAAUUUUCUCUAGUUAAGGAUGUCAAUUAGAUUUCUCUCAGCUGAAUUAUGGCUACUACCACAAUUUUGAUCUCACCAGUACUUUUUUUUUUUGGGCAGCAGGGCCCCAUGCAGGUAAACAAAGCUUUAUGAAGGGACUUCACUUCCUGAUUUUGGAUGAACUGUUUCCACAAGUCUUAUGAGAUGAUUAUUUGUACUUCAGUGUAUGCUUCCGAUUAUGCUUCCGAUUUUUCCUGUUAUGUUUCCUAAUCCAUUAGCGUGCGUAGCACUGUUUAAAUCAACAAGGAAACUGUGGAUAGAGAUGAAUUAUCCAAUGUUACAUAUAAUACACUCGAAGAUGGUAAAAGGGAACUAGAAUCUGAAGGAAGCUAGCUAUAACAUAAUUGAUAUUAUCGAAACUACUUGUCGAUUAAUCAACAAAAAAUAUGUUUUGAUUGUACCAUUUAAUAUGUUAGUACUCGAUCAGAAUGUCUUUCUGGACCAAAGGGUCCAAUAUAUGUUAGAUCAGAAGUUGAACUGAUAUAAGUUGGUUCUAAUGUAUCAAUGGAAAUACAUGAUGAACAUUCAUUAAUUGAAGAAUUUUGUGAGAAAAUAUGCCUAUUUAAGCCAUGUAGCAUUUAAGAUUUACUUAUCGAUGAGUCUAAACCCAUUUGCAAGGUAUGUUGUCAUGUUGUUGUAUAAUUAGAUUCUAUUAUUUGUAGGAUGAUUUUUAGACCUUUAUACAUCCAUUGAGGCAUUACAUCAGCUAUUUCAUCACUAAACCGAUAUGAUCGAGAGGUGUUAUGUAUUAAUUCGUUACUUGGCAAUUUUAAAAUAAGGUUAUUUAUUUUGCUAAGUUUGGAAGUGUAUUUAUAAUCAUGCAAUGUUUCGAACACAAUUGAUGGGAAGAAGGAUAGUUAAUAUCGCUGUAAAAGAACAAACUUCCAUCAAAAGUGAAUGAAGCGCGCCAGUUCAAAGUGAAUGAUUUUACUUAGUAAGACCAGCAGAAGAGGAGAAUCACGAGAGGUAUGCAUGAGAGUUAUCAAAAUCUUUGAUGCAUUCAGUAAAUAAAGUGUGUGUGUCAAACAAAGAUUUACACAGAGAAAUCCAUCAUUUUGCACGAAAAAUAGUGCGAAUCACCAAAAUUUCACUUGUUUAACAUCAAAAUAUUUUGCUGUUAGUGCCAAAAACUUCAAAACCAUGCCCAUAGUUGUUGUUUUGGUGUUGUUUUUCCUAUUAGAAUCAAUCUGCAUAAACAACGAUUUCAAGUUCUGUUUUGAUCUGUUGCAUCUUUUAAGAACACUUUCUCUAAAUAUUUUGUGUUUUCUAAGUUCAAGCCCUUCAUUCUUUGUUUCAUUAAUUGAUGUGUUAUUAUCUACUUAUCUCUUGGUAUUGCCAUUCUGGUUUCUGAAAAGCUUUAGUUUCUGUAAUUUUUGUGACCAUGCUAAUUCACUCCCAUGAUUUCCAUCAGGAGGGUUGAAGUGUAUAAGUAUUGUCAUCCAUUGAUACUCGACUGAUCUCAGUGUCGAAGCUCAGGACCUUAUGCUCUGAUAUUCAUUGCUCUGAUAUUCAUUGAUAUGACCAUGUUCGCAUGCAGCGUGUGUUGAUAAAUUUUUUGUAACAAAUUAGAUUAGCAAUAUAUCGUGGGAAAAAUUUUUGCUCCGACUGUGUAUUUCUUGUGGCGUGCAAGUGAACAAUACCUGACGUGACUAUGAAAAAGUUGUAAUGGAUUAUGAGAAUUGUAUUUUCCCUUUCCGGAAAGAGUACGUACAGUGAAAGCAAAAUUGUUUCUCUUUAAUUAAUUAGAUACAUGUUGUAUAAGUUUUGCGAAUUAUGAAUCUGAAUUUUGGUGUGUUUGUUCUCGCUACUGUGUUUUGUUUUAUUUUAUUAAGUGAAAUCUGUUUUCUUGCUUAGUCAAAUUAAAUGUUUGGCUUUGACAAUUCAAAAUGUUUUAUUUUAUCGUAAAGGGGUGUUUGGUUCCUCUGAAAAAAUAUUCUAGAAAAUAGUUUUAUAGCCGAAAAGGUGAACAAUAUGUGCUAGGGCUUUUUUUGCAUUUAGACCCCUGACAAAUUUUUAUUUUAAAAAUAGCCCUGUCAAAAUUUAAUUUGCAAAAAUGGCCCUCGACCUGCCACGCAGGCGCCACGUCAGCGCCACGCGGGCAGGGCUGUGCCCGUGUGUUAAGUUGAACACGGUGAACCAUUCACCGUGUUCAAACACGGUGAAUGGUUCACCGUGUUUAGUACGUAUUUUUUGUUACGUAUUUUUUGUAUAUUGAAAAGUGGAAUAAGGAGUAGGGAUGUCAAUAGAUAUGGAUAUCCGAAAUAUUAUNNNNNNNNNNUGAAAGAAGUAACAGAUAUGAAAACUGUAAAUAUGCAUGCAUGCUUUUCAUUAACUUUACCCAAUCUUUUGGUUAACCCUCUGGUUAACAGCUGGACAAGUACGUUAGUCCAUAAAUUUACCGAAUGCAGUGGUUAACCCUUUGGUUAACAAUAACUCACCAACGAAAUCCCUCACGGGCCCUAAGCUGCCUCCCGAUGGGACCGUCUGUCAGACAAGUACGUUAGUCCUGGGGCAAGUACGUUAGCCCAACAAGUGACUACUCCGGAGCUCACUGCCUGGGGGGAGCGACCACCACCAAGCUAAGAAAACAGACUAUGUGAGUAAGAUCUGAUCCCCUUUUAGAGGAUUCAACUGACAACAAUGUCACAAUUUAACUCUAACUAGUUCUUUAUACUAGUUUCCAAAUCUCUAGUCAUGAUGUCACCAAGUUUACUAUUGUCUUGGUCCAUGCAUUCAUAGGGUUCUAUGUCCACAAUCUAAGGUUCACAAAUUCUCAUUGUUGAUAGGAAUUCACAUUUUCACUCGCUCAAUGCCAAACACCCUAUAAUGCAUGACUACAAAUAUAAAUAUGCUCAACAAAGAAUUAUAGACAUAAAAGGUGAUUCAAAGAGUUCGGAUAGCACCACCCACCUGUAGUGGUGUCAAUCAACUAGAAUCCAUGUCUCGGAAAGCGUCGACGACUAUCUCUCGUGACUCCGUGCAAAUAGGACUAGAGCGGUCUCUACCGUAAUUAGCGUGUCGUCGACCUGUCGGAAAGUCAAUUUAGACUCUUGGGCAUGUUUACUUUACACUUAUAAAGGAUUAGAAAAGAUUAAACUAGAGUCAUUACUCAUAUUUUACAAGUUAGCAUUUCAAUGCGAUAUAAAGCGGCAACUAUAGCCGAAAACCUUCUUUUGGCGAUAUCUUUGCGUAGGUUCGUCGGAUUGCCGAACCGACUUCGCCAACGCGUUUCUUUUACCCUCAAUUUGGUUUACACGCCGUCAAUUUCGCAUUAGGACUCUUAUUUUGCAAAAGUGCAUUGCCGGGGUCAGUUUUCUCAAAAACACUAUUUCAAUGCAAUUUCACAAUUCAAUAGAGUAAUUCAACUCUUUAUUAGCCCAGGGACCUCAAAUCAGUUAGUAAAAACUGUCCAAAUACUUCGAUUCAUCUUUUCUCUCUAUUUCAUUUUCUUUCUUUUCUUUCUUCUCUUUCUUUUCUUUCCUUCUUUCUUCCUCUUUUCUUUCUUUUUUUGUUUUCUUUCUUUCUUGCUGGCCCUGUAGGACAGCUGCUGCUGCUGCCACUGUUGCCACUGCUGCUGCUGCUAGCUGCAGCUGCUGCUGCUGCUGUGCUGCUAUGCUGCUGCAGCUACUACAAGCUACUGCUGCUGCUGCUGGCUGAGCUGCUGCUGCUGCAGCAGCUUGCUGCUGCUGCUGCUAAGCUGCAGCUGCUGCUGCUGAUGCUGCUUGCUGCUGCUGCUUACACUGCUGCUGCUGCUGCUGCUGCUGGCGCAGGCUGCUGCUGCUGCUGCUGCAGCUGCUGCUGCUGCUGCAGCAGCUGCUGAGCUGCUGCUGCUCUGCUGCUUGCUGCUGCUGCUACUAGCUGCUGCUGCUAGCUGCAGCUGCUGCUGCUGAUGCUGGCUGCAGCUGCUGAGCAAGCUGCUGCUGUAGCUUGCUGCUACUGCUUGCACUGCUGCUGCUGGCUGCUACUGCUACAACCAGCAGCAGGGAGAGGGGGAGAGGGAGAGAGAUAAUUUACCUUUUUGUUCUCUUUUUUCUUCUUCUCUUUCUCCUUUCUCUUCUUCUUCUCUUCUUUUUCUUCUUCUCCCCUCCCUUUGCUCUUGCUUUCCCUCUCUCUCUAGACGUAUGCUGCAAGAAGAGGUGGCAGGGGAUAAGGAUGGCCCUGGCUGCAGGUUAGUGGAAUUCCACUAAGUCAUAUGCUAAUUACCAAAAUGCCCCUCGACUUACUCCGUUUAGUCGCACGGAUUAUAUACCUUCCGUAAGCCCUUCCGACAGUCCGAUUGAGCUCAAAUUUGGCAGGAAUGAUCGUUUUUACUUAAUAAGUCCACUGAAAUUUUAACAUUUCAGUUUCGACCCCGUUUGGUCACUGCGAACUGUACCGAACUGAAAUCUUUAUCCGAUAGCUUUCGGAUUCAAUUUCUCUCUCUACGGGUGUCAGAAAAAUCUGAAACUUCAAAUCUAGCCUCAUAAUAAUGUUCCUGACAUCUUUGCCAAUUUUCAUAAUUUUCUGACACUGUGCAUUUUCUGCUAAUUUUCUCAGCCCCGUUCCUUACAAAAAAUUCUAAAUUUUUCGUUUUCGCUCCGAUUUCACCCAAACACUUCCAAAAUACACCAAGGGACCUUCCCAAGCUACCAAUUUAAUUUGGAAGCAAUUCCUUUUCAUUUUGACAUUAUUUGAGCCGAAUUAGAAAUAGAAUCGGCUCCAAUUCCAUUACAUGGCCUUUUUGCACUACCACUUCGCACUGAGCUCUUUAAAACCUUGUGAAAACACACCCUUGGCUUUACCAAAACUUCACAAUUGAUUCGGAGAUACCACAAUUUAUCCUUAGGCCUUACUUUAAUUCUUUUAAUCAAAGUUAGCGUCGGAAUUGCGAAAAUUCUCUUUACUCUCUUUAUAUUUCGUUUCGCGCCCAAUUUGCGCCGACACACUUAUUUCUCUUUGGAACUCAUUCCAACGCAUCACAAAUCCCUCGGGGAUGAUGUACAACUAGCUCAAUCCUCACUUUGACCCUCUAGGUCAAAGUUGACAUCGCGACUCCAAGUUUCCAUAUGUUACAUUCUCCUCCCGUUAACAAAAGUUUCGGCCGCGAAACUUAGAUCCAUAUUACCCCUUAUUGCUUAACGGAUGGAGAUAACUUUCCAAAUGCUAUUCCAAAGUUUCUCAAUUUCAUUACAUACUAUACUGAUUUCUCCAAAUCAGUCUCUACGAACACUUUGUUCGCAUUUCCAAUCUCAACUCGUCAUCGAUGCUUAUUUUAGCAAUUCUGACUAAUUCACCCAUAGAACCAAGCUUUUGCUUUCACGGCCUCUACUCAUAAUCUACUUACAUAGGUCCACUACACUCGCUUUCAGUAUGAACGAGUAAACCAGUACCACAAUUCGGUUCCUAAGUUACCGAUCCGAUACAGGCCGAUUGCCUAACCCAACCAUGAUACGACAUAUUGCCUCUCGCUCGCAAGCGCAAACCCAAUCAUCAUCGGGCGAUAUUCUCACUGGAGAAUUCGCACACACUCCAACUAGGAGAAACCAAGACCCCAAACCACGCCAAGUCCUCGGGUUGGGUCGCUACACACCCUGUGUGUUCUCGAUCUCACGAUCUAACACGUGGCAUUCCACGUACUCGGGUCCAAGCUCGGACUACCGUCCUGACCAAAACUCUCUGCCCUACCCGUAGGUACCGGGCCGCUGCCUCUCGCAGCUGACUGCGCCUGCCCAAUAGACCAGGCUCCACAGUCCAAAAAGGGUCCAGGCACGGAUCGUCCCCAAGCACUACCCGCCAACGUAGUCCUACACGACAUGCUCUACAGAGCUACCCACUCUAACGGCUCUUAAGCACCUAGUGCGAGCCAACAGCCUUAAGAGUGACCCAUGGCCCGCUUCACACUUAGCCCUGCUGAAGUGCUACUGCCAAUUCACUCUUCAGGCUGAUCCACAAUCCACAAUCUACGGACAACUAACUCAAGGGUCCAACACGAUCGCGUCUCUCGCUAGAUAGCACUCAUCUAGUGCUCGUUAGGCAACUUAGCCUAUGACUAUCAUACAUAAACACAAUUUCCUCAACUGAUUUGAGGUACAACUCAAUUAACUCGCCAAAACCAGGCGAUCAUCUAACGACCUUCCAACAGUAACGCCAUUACUGUUACGCAAUCCCUCGGAAUAUCAUCCGACUUCUCAAUGUCGUGCGUUCUAGCAAAUGAACUACUAAUGAAUGAAUGCAAUGCACCAGUGUCAAUAAUAUACGCGAUCUAGUAAAACAAUACCUGCCACGACAUCGUCGACUACGGCAGGAUCCUCAACCUGAGCUGCAAAGACACGACCACUCGGUGCAGGUCGGGGUGGCUCGUACUGACGCGGCACAAAAGUAUGUCCAGCUGACAUAGCGGGUGGGGGACCCGCACGCUGCCUCGCAGGCGACUGAACUGAAGCUGUAGGCUGAGCAGAUGAUGCUCCUCUCGGGCAAUCACGACUAAUGUGUCCCGGCUGUCCACACUUAAAACAUUUACCGUCCUUUUGUGAACAAGCUACCGCUUGAUGAUUCCCGCCGCAAAUCACACAUCCCGGGGGUCCCUGAUACGUCUGCUGUGGCUGUGGAUACCGAGGGGGCCGUUUAGAGCUCGACUGUCCCCCGGCGCCACCAGUGGUUCGCUUCUUUCCCUUUUCUCUUUCUCGUUCUCUAUCAAACGACUCGCGUUCCUCACGCGCAAUCGCAUUGCUGCGCUCUACCCAAAGAGCUCGAUCCAGGACUUCCUCAAAUGACUUUAACUUUAGAGCACUAAUUAUCUUAAAUAUUUCAGGCNNNNNNNNNNNNNNNNNNNNNNNNNAAGGAGAGAUGCAUGCUCCAAAAAUUACAAGAAACUAAAGGCCUUUCACAACCAGAAUGCAAUUACCGAGAGAUAAGUAGAUAAAUAACACAUCAGUUAAUGAAACAAAAGAAUGAAGGGCUUGAAGCUUAGAAAAACACAAAUAUUAGAGAAUUGGUUCUUAAAAGAUGUAACUAGAUCAAAAACAAACUGAAAUCAGAAACUUGAAAUCGUUGUUUUAUGCUAGAUUGAUUCUAAUAGGAAAAACAACAAUCAACAACCACUCACUAUGGCAUGGAUUUUUUUUUUUAUUUUUUUUUUUUUGGGUUUUUGAAGUUCUUGCACUAAACGCAAAUAUUUUGAUGUGAAACAAGUGAAAUUUGGUGAUUCGCAUUAUUUGUCGUGCAAAAUGAUGGAUUUCUGUGUGUAUAAUCUUAUGUUUGACUACACACACACUUAUUUACUGAAUCAUCAGGGUCAAAAGAUUUUGAUAACUCUCAAUGCAUAGCUUCGUGAUCCCUCUUCUGCUGGUCUGAUCAAGCAAGUAAAGCCAUUCACUAUUAAUUGGUGGUUUUUUCAUUCACUUUUUGUGAUGGAUUUUGUUUUAAACAGCGAUAGUUAACUAUUCUUCUCCCAUCAAUUGUUGAUUUCGAGAACCGUUGCCAUGCAUUAUAAACAUACCUACUUCUCAUAUCGGUUUGGUUAGUUGAAUAGCAGAUGUAAACCUCAAUGGAUGUAUCGAAGGUCUAAAAAUCAUCCUACAGAUAAUAGAAUCUCAUUUAUACAACAACAAUACAACAUACCUUCAAAAUGGUUUAGAACUCAUCGAUUAAGUAAAGUCUAAAUGCUACAUGGCUUAAAUAGGCAUAUUUUCUCACAAAAUCUUCAAUUAAUGAGAUGUUCAUCAUGUAUUUUCCAUUGAUACAUUAGAACCAACUAUAUAUUCAAGCUUCUGAAUCUAACAUAAAUAUUGAACCCUUUGGUCCAGAAAGACAUUCAUGAUCGAGUACUACAUAUUAAAUGGUACAUCAAAACAUAUUUUUUGUUGAUUUAUCGAACAAGUAGUUUCGAUAAUAUCAUUAUGUUUAAGCUACUUCCUUGCCAGAUUCAAGUUGCGCCUUUUACCAUCUUCGAGUGGAUUAUAUGUACCAUUGAUAAUCCAUCUCUAGUUCGCACAGUCCGUUGUUGCUUAAACAGUGCUACGCACGCUAAUCGGAUAGGAAACAUAACAGAAAAAUCGGAGGCAUAAAUCGGAAGCAUAACACUGAAGUACAAAUAACAUUCCAUAAGAUUGUGGAAAUAGUUCAUCCAAUCAGGAAGUGAAGUCGCCUUCCAAUAAAGCUUUUGUUACCUCAUGGGCCCCUGUGCUGCCCAAAAAAAAAGAAAGUACUGUGAGAUCAAAAUUGUGGUAGUAGCCAUAAUUCAGCUGAGAGAAAUCUAAUUGCACAUCUCUUACUUCGAGAAAAUUGUUGUUUUUCAUAUAUGUCUGAUGGCAGAUCAGACUCUGAAGAGCCACCAAAGAUCAAGGAAAAUCGGUAAAACCAAUUAACCAGAAGAGGCAUGCUAAAAGGCUUGAAUGAACGAGUUAGGUCCUGAUUAAUUGCACCAAGGCUCAUUUUUUUUCUAGUACACCCGUUUCAAAGAUGAGGCAUCUGAUAUUGACGAUCGAAUACAUUAUCAUUAAGAUAUUUGAACUUUGUAAGAACAGUUCGAUCCAAAUUUUUUAGGAAACAUUUUCUACUUCAAAGCAACCACAAAUAAACAGUCAUGAAAUCUAAACAAUUGUUAGAAUAGAUUGAUAGAAUAUUAAAUUCAAGAUCAGGGCUGUAGAUUUUGAUCAUUCGUUAAAAGAAUACCGAUUUGCAUUCUUCAUACCGUAAAUUAGAAAAGGUCUAGAUGUGCCAUAAAAUGUCAACUUUAAUGAUUGUUGGUCACUAUAUAGUAUGACAUUGAUGAAGUCAUGAAAUGAUACCUAAGGCUUCAAUUCUAUGAGCUCAUUUUUAGUGACGCCGCAUCCCCGGAGGCCAUCCCAAUUCUAGGACUACUUCUAGUCCUCACACGCUAAACUCUUCUUAAUCUCUUAGACUACCAUCGCCCAAAAUGUUAUAGACGAAGGUUAAAAGAUUUAGCCCUUAUUAAUCUUUACUAUAGCUGAACUACCUUGAGGUCUGCGACAUUGCUUCGCCUCUUUUAAGUCCUGACGUCUCGUCAGGCUAAAACUCACAAAUGAUCAGGCGAUGUGAAAUCUAGUCUCGCUAGCCUAACCACUUGUUGGUGAGCGGGCUCGCACACCACAACAGUCAACACAUGAAACCUCACUCCGCUGACCCGCGUAUAAUCCUUGGCUCACCAAGACUAAUCUCACAGCUUUCAGCUUAGUAAUUGACUCUGAUACCAACUUAACGCGUAAAGUCAUUUUCUAGGAAAUCACUUAUUCUAAGACAGACUGCUAGUCCUAGCAUGGCUUAACUUAAAAUAAUAUAAACCUAAAAUAAAACUCAUUUAAUAAUCCUAUAUAAGGGUUUGAAUACUACAUUUUAACGAAACCGACACCUUAACACAGAUGUUUUUACCCUCCGAGAAACUAUUCGGAAAAGUCAACUGAAAAUAGCAUAAAUUGGUCGAAAUAUUACAAACUAAGUUCAAUUUGAAUCAAACAACUUAGCUCAAUCAUACAUUCAUUUCCAAACAUUUGCACAGUGAUGACAUCUCAUUUAAGUAUUUUAAACUGCCUAAAAUCACUAUAAAAGUCUAAUAUCGCUAGUGAUCAAAAUCCCACGAUUUGAAGCCUCAUAAAACACAAAGGUAAACUCAUCUAAAAACUCUAAAAACAAAGGCAAUUCAUAUAAGUAUUAUUGCCUCCCAAAUUCAAGUAGAAAGAACUAAAAAGUAAUUAUCAGGAUUCAUUUUGGGCUCUUAGGGCGCGCCACACCCUAAAUUACAAGAAAAAUCUCGUAAUGGGCAGAAACUCCCCAUUUAGGCGCUCAUAUUUGAAUAUAGUGUCAUAAAACUUCAAACUAUAGUCAAUUCAUAAUAAGAUACGCCUUGGACCUUCAAAGAGAAAAGGAAAACAUGCAUGCAGACCUAAAAUAUUCAUACUCUUUGAUAUUUACAAAGUACAAAAUCGAUAAUCUACUUAAUUUGUUCUCUAAGCUAGAGUUUUAACUUGAAAAGUGGGUUUCCUUCUCCAAAAGUCUCCUUCUAAAUUCCUUCAAUUUGUAAGGGAGAAAUCCUUCUUCUCAUGCUGAAUAAAAAAGAGAAGAAUCUAGGACUGAGAGAAGGGAACAUAGGAAAAAGAAGAUGAGAAUAGGGAAUAAAAGAGUUUUUCUCUCUCCGCAUUCAAACCACCCAUUUAAAAGAGUUAGUCAUUUUACUCAACAUUUCUUGGAAAAAUUUUAGGUUGGUACGCAAUAGUUAACUCACUCUAAGUUCGAAUAUGUUACAAUUUUAAUUCAAAUUUACACAAACACCAUAACAAAUGGUUAAAAAUCCCCAAACUACCGCUCAAAGCUGCAGGACUGCAUCGACGACUGUUAGAAAAAUUGCAAUAACCUCUGUCGUCCGAUAUCGUUAAGGAGCAUUCAGGUUCGUUAGAAAAGACAUAAACUCACGAUCUUUCAAAGCAGACCAAUUUUGCCAAUCUGAUGUCAAUAACCUAGUUAAAAGUUUACCAAAUGUCUAUUUGUGCAAUGGCAGAUUAGACUCAACUGUCUUGAAUUUUCGUCCUCGUAAACAAUUCGUUUUGACAUCAAUUGAGUUUCAAACAUCAUUAAAACUGGCCAUCACCCUGCUAAAAUUAUUUUGAAAUCUUUAAACAUUAAUAGUCAAAUUUGGGGCGUUAUAGUUUCUUACAUCCCGUUAAAAACAGCGUUUCGGCCUCCUUUUAGCCGGAUAUAGCAUUUUGGCAGUAGAUGCAGCCCAAAAGUUAAGAGAGUUAAGUGUGGCUAGAAUUACGGGGUGACCCUUGGAAGUAGGCGUUCCAUUGGUAUUAAGCCAAAUUACCAGCCGAAAAUGUGAAGAUAAGUCUUGGCUGAUGGCCAGGUUAUAACAGCGGCGAAGCGAGGCUCUUCAUGCUGAUGACUAUUCCUGGGAUGAAAUGCGCAGCUCACCACAAAGUUGGUUUAGGCUUCAAGAGACAGAUUCUUUACCAUUAAUUGAUACGUUGUGAGUCUGAAACCGACGAGCGACGUCCAAAAAACAAAGGCGCUUUUUAAAGAAUGAGAGAAAUUGAAACCGGCCAAGUAGUCCUAUAUGUAAAGAUAUAAUAGGCUGAAAAGCCUCCUUAACCCCGCUAUAGAAUUGGCGUCACGGUAGGUCUAGAGAGGUUAAGAGAGUUAAGCGUGCUCGACUUAGAGUAAUCCUAGGAUGGGUGACGCUUUGGAAAGUGCGGGCGUCACAGUUGGAAUCAGAGCUAAUUACUAGUUGGAAGUAAUGAGAUUAGUCCUCGAGUGAGCAGAUUGUACAACGGGAGAGGCGAGGCUCAUCAUGCUGUUGACUGUUAGGUGGAGGCGCAACUCACGCAAUAAUGUCGGUUUAUGUUAGCGAGACGAGUCUCACGACACCUCGUACUUGUGGAGUCUCAGCGCUGACAGAGACAAUUAGGGCUUCAAGGUGAGGAAAUUGCGAGACUCCAGGUAGUUCUAUAUAUAAGAAUAAUAGGUUAAAUACUCUUAAAUCCAUCUUAAUCAUUUGGGUGGUGGCUAGGUUCCAAGAGGUUAAAAGAGUUAAGUGUGAUAGAUAGGAGUACGUCCUAGGACGCAAUCUUCAACGUGCAAUUAUCAAUUUGGAUACUAUAUAUAUCAUUCGAUAAAUGAAACCUAAUAGCACCACCGUGUUCGGAUUUUAGAAAUGAUAAUUUUUGAUGAUACAAAAUAGAAAAAUUUUGGAUUUUACUUUUUCAACAUAGUAAUUUCAGGUUUUAGUUGGUAUUUGAAAUGAACAACCGAACAAAAUUGAUCAAAGAUAGUCAUUCAAGUCAAAAAUUUCCAAAAUCAGCUCGGACAAAAUCAAAUGUAUCAAAUUGGAUGCAAGUAGCCCAACAAUAUAUGGAGGGCUUCUUUGACUCUUAUUGUAACAAUAUGGAAACUGGCAGUCGCGAUGUCAACUUGACCUAGAGGGUCAGUGAGGAUUGAGCUAGUUGGACAUCAUCCCGCGGAAGGGAUUUUGUGAUGCCAGUUGGAAUGAGCUUCCAAAAGAGAAAUAGUGUGUCGGGCGCAAAUUGGGCGCGAAACGAAAUAUAAAAGAGUAAAGGAAUUUUCGCGAAUUCCGACGCUAACUUGAUUAAGAAGAUUAAAGUAAGGCCUAAAGGAUAAAUUGUGGUAUCGUCCGAAUACAAUUGUGAAGUUUUGGUAAAGCCAAGGGUGUGUUUCACAGUUGUAUAAAGAGCUCAGUGCGAAGUGUAGUGCAAAAGAGGCAUGUAAUGGAAUUGGAGCGCGAUUCUAUUUCUAAUUCGGCUCAAAUAAGUGUAAAAUGAAAGGAAUUGUUCCACAUUAAAAUUGGUCAGGCUUGGAAGUCCGCUUGGUGUUAUUUUGGAAGUGUUGGGUGAAAUCGGAGCGAAAACGAAAAUUUAGAAUUUUUUUGUAAGGAUACGGGCUGAGAAAAUUAGCGUAAAAUGCAACAGUGUCAGACAAAUUUGAAAAUUGGGCAAAGUGUCAGGAACAUUAUUUAUGAGCUAGAUUGAAGUUUCAAGAUUUUUUCUGACAACCCGUAGAGAAGAAUUGAAUCCGAAAGCUAUCGGAAUAAAAGGAAUUUUUUUUCCAAAGUUUUCGUAAGUUCGCAGUGACACAAACGGGGUGCGAAACUGAGAAUGUUAAAAUUUCAGUGGAUUAUUAAGUAAAAACGAUCAUUCUCCUCUGCCAAAAUUUGAGCUCAAUCGGACCUCGAAAAGGGCUUACGAACGUAUAUAAUCCGUCGACUAAACGAGUAAGUUCCGAGGGCAUUUUGGUAUUAGCAUAUGACCUUAGUGAAUUCACUAACCUGGCAAGCCAGGGCCAUCCUUAUCCCCUGGCACCUCUUAUUGCAGCAUACGUCUAGAGAAGAGAGGAAAGCAAGAGCAAAGGGCAGGGGAGAGAAAAAAAGAGAGAGCAAGAAGAGAAAGGAGAAAGAUAAGAGAACAAAAGGAGAACAAGGUAAAUUAUAAAUCUCUCGACUCUCUCCCCCUCUCCCUGGCUCGGUUGUAAGCAUAGCAGGCCAGACAGCAGGCAGUGCAAGCAGUAGCAGCAAGCUACAGCAGCAGGCUGCUUCAGGGCAUGCUGCAGCCAGCAUCAGCAGCAGCAGGCUGCAGCUAGCAGCAGGCAAGCUAGUAGCCAGCAGCAAGAGCAGAGCACAGGCAGCUCAGCAGCUGCUGCAGAGCAGCAGCAGCUGCAGCAGCAGGGCAGCACAGCCUGCGCCAGCCAGGAGCCAGCAGGCAGCAGUGUAAAGCAGCAGCAGCAAGCAGCUCCAGCAGCAGCAGCUGGCAGCUUAGGCAGCAGCAGCACAAGCUGCUGCAGCAGCAGCAGCUCAGCCAGCAGCAGCAGCAGUAGCUUGUAUAAGCGCAGCAGCAUAUGCAGCCACGCAGCAGCAGCAGCUGCCAGCUUAGCAGCAGCAGGGGCAGUGGCAACAGUGCACAGGCAGCAGCUGUCCCUACAGGGCCAGCAAGAAAGACGAAAACAAAAAAGAAGAAAAGAGGAAGAAAGAAGAAAUAAAAACGAAAGAAAGAGAAGAAGAACAAAAAGAUUAAAUGAAAUAGAGAAGAAAAGAUGAAUCGAAGUAUUGACCAUUUUUUUAAGCUAACUGAUUUGAGGUCCUGGGCUAAUCAAGAGUUGAAAUUACUCUAUUGAUGAAUUGUGAAAUUGCCAUUCGAAAUAGUGUUAUUUUGAGAAAACUGACCCUGGCAAAUGCACUUUUGCAAAAUAAGAGUCCUAAUGCGAAAUUGACGGCGUGUAACCAAAUGAGGAAAAGCAAGAUGCGUUGCUCGAAGUCCGGUUCGGCAAUCGACGAACCUACGCAAAGAUAUGCGCCAAAAGAAGUUUUCGGCUAUAGUUGCCGCUUAUACUCGCAUUGAAAUGCCUAACUUGUAAAAUAUGAGUAAUGACUCUAGUUACAUCUUUUAAUCUCUUAUAAGUUAAAGUAAAAUGCCAAGAGUCUAAAUUGACUUUCCGACAGUCGACGACACCUUAAUUCCGGUAGAGCCGCGCUCUAAUACUAUUUGCACGAGUCACGGAGAUAGUGUCCGACGCUUUCCGAGACCAUGGAUUCUAGUUGAUUGACACCACUUACACAGGUGGUGGUGCUAUCUCGAACUCUUUGAAUCACCUUUUAUAGUCUAAUAUUCUUCGAUGAGAACAUCAUUAUAUUUGUAUGUCAGCAUAUGGGGUUUGGCAUUGAGCGAUGUGAAAAUGUGAAUUCCCAUAUCAAGCAAUAAGAGAAUGUUGUGGAACGCUUAAUUGUGGACAUAGAACCCUAAUGAAUGCAUGGACGCAAACAAUACGUAAACUUGGUGACAUCAUGAUAUAGGAUUUGGAAACUAGUUAAGAACUAGUUAGAGUUAAAUUACAUUGUUGUCAGUUGAUAUCCAUACUAAAAGGGGAUCAGCAUCUUACUCACCAUAGUCUGUUUCUUUAGCUUGGUGUGGUCGCUCCCGACCCAGGCAGUGAGCUCACGGAGUAGUCACUGUUGGGCUAACGUACUUGCCCUAAAAAACAUGCAGGACUAACGUACUGUCUGACAGACGGUCCAUCGUGAGGGGGCACUAGGGGCCGUGAGGGAUUUCGUUGGUGAGUUAUUGUAACACAAAGGUUUUAACCACUGGCAUUGGGUAAAUUAUGGACUAAACGUACUUGUCAGGGCGUUAAACAGAGGUUCACCAAAAGAUUGGGUAAAGUUAAUUGAAAAGCAUGCAUGCAUAUUUACCAGUUUCAAUCUGUACUUCUUUCAGCUUUUACUAGGCAUUGUAGUACAAUUAAUGUUAUAUGUUUGGUUAGCUAUCUGGCUUACUUUUCUGCCUUACAUAUGGCCUGAGUAGACGCUAGGUGGUGAUCGCGAAGUCCGGCAGCCGAACUCCACUGGGAAGCUUUCUUGUAGCUUCUCACACACUAACCAUAACAGCGUUCCAAGUGGCGAAGUUUUGAGGGUGAGACGUGGGCCAAGGGCCCUGCAAGCUUAAGCUAGGCUGACCACAGAGUUUAGCACCAGUUACCAUGUUUGAGUCAUGUAUACAUUCUCAUUUUGAUGUACAGAGACAUGUAAUGAAUGUAUAAAAAGCAUGUAAUAACUAAAUGUUUCAGUUAUGUAAAGUUUUAAAUUACAGUGGAUUUCAUGUUUAGUUAGACUUACUAUCAGCUUGUGUUGUUGCUUGUCUUUGUGCAAGCCAUGUAUAUUGAAAAUGUGAGCCUGGAAAUUGUUUAAUUUCUUUAUACAUGUUCAUUCGUUGUUGUCCGAGCCUUGGCGAACAGAGGGAGGUGCUGUCGUUCGCGUCUGUGUACGGGCCCGUCGACCAAAUUGGCGAUACGGACGUGACAGAUAAAGUGGUAUCUAUAGCAAGUAUAGAAAAGUCCUAAGGAAUGACCUAGGGGACUUAGAUUGGAAACCUAGGAAACCAGGAAAUCGCGAGUGCGUGAAUUUAAUGAUAGCGAAGCCAACAAUUGGGUUAGUUGUUACAAGUCUGCUAAUGUUAAUUAGGGGCUGAUGCGCUGAAGUGCUUAUUUAUAUGGGCAAGCAAAAGAGUUAGUGUUGAAUGCCACAACACAUAAAGCUAAGGUUGAGUAAUAAAUGACUUGAAUUGCUUUCGCCUGUUGUUUGUUUUACUAAUGGAGUUUUGAAAUGUUCGUUCAGGAGAAAUGCCACCGCGACGUGUAACGAGAUCCACUCCGGCAUCACCCUUUGAGGUGAGCCAGAGCAGUCUGUGGUCGGAUGAGGUUCAGGAGCUUGCGUGCUCCAAGGUGAGCGCGUUAGAGGGCUAUGCAGAGGCAGACGGAGAACAUAAGAGGUUGCAGGAAUUGGUGUCGCAACAGGCGGACGAACAGCAGCUUUGGGAAGUCAGGAUGUACCUUAUCGCGGAUCCGCCAGUGUAUUAGCCCCUCCCUCCAGUUGAAUUAUUCUCCGUGGUCUCAUGACGCUUCUAGUUCUGAUUCGGCGCGACAACGCCGAGCACGAGCGAUCCUUAUCAGGUAUGACGCGUUCAUUGCAGGUUUUAAUCCGCCAUGUUGACGGGAAAGAAGCCGCGAUCUUGGGUAUUGGAGACGUGGCUUUCAACAUCGAUGGAAGCCUUGUUUUGAGGAUUUAUAACCCUGGAACAAUGAUAAGGUUAUUUGCAAGCGCACUGUUUGAGCAAGGAUGCCAGAUUUUGUGGCAAAAGGCAAGAAAAGCUCAGGUCUAAACACUUCAUCGCAUUACCUGGGAGGAGUUUAUGAGAGAUUAUUCAUGGAAGUACUUACCCAGAUAGCGACAGAAGAAAGUUUGAAGGAUAGAGUGUAGGAAGUUGAGACAGCGGGAACCGUUCGGUACGGGAGUACGAAGGGGUUUAACUCAUUUGGUGAACCUGUGUACCAGGCAUGGUUCAUACUGAUAGAGAUCGAGCAGAGUACUUCGAGCGGGGUUACCUCUCUCUCUCUCUCUCUCUCUCUCUCUCUCUCUACCUCUAUUCUCUCUCUUUCUCCCCUUUCUCUGUCUGCUCUCUCUCUCUCUCUCUCUCUCUCCCUCUCUCUGCCUGCUCUCUCUCUCUCUCUCUCCCUCUGUUAUCUCUCUCUUUCUCGCACAAGGCCCCCGCAAAACGCGGGGAACGCGCCGUACAAACUCUCGAUUCAAGAGUUAUAUAGAUAGAUAAAGUAGAGUUCGGGCGAAAUCAUGGAGGAUUUUUUGGUAAGAACAUAUAAAAUAUAUUAUAAACGGCGUAUUUCUAUAUGCAGAAUAUAUACGAUAUUGCAUACAAAAAUAAAUGUUAUUUUUUUAUCAUAUUUCUUUUAUUGUACGUGCCAUAUUUUUUUCACAAUUGUAAAUAAAAUCUGAAUCUACAUUGAAUAUUCUAGUGUAUAUACACAAUUUAUAAUAUUUUUCUGUAAGGCAACAUUAAAAUUCUGUGUUUUAUAAAUUAAGUAAUACAAUGUAGCAUUUGAGCAUCUCUAGUCUAUGAAAUAUAAUACUCUACUACUUUAUUAUUUAUUCACAAAAAGUUAAAAUAGAAAACACAAAAAAGGUGAAAUGCUAUGUUUUUAAGCAUAAACUAGUAACAAUUUCCGUGAAAUUACAAAUUAAUUGUCUUUUGUGGAUGCAAUAUUUCUACAGCUAUACACAUAAAUUACUUCCAACAACUGAGAUCCAUCACCGACUGUUCCUAGAGCAAGUGACAAAGGGCUUGGUGGUUGGUAUCGAGACUCAAGUUCGAAUUCUAGUUGAUUCACAUUUCCAGCUAAGUUUAUUCUAAAUGAAAUAAACAAAGCGGAUAGCGUGCUACCUUUCUCUCAAAAAAAAAACAACUGAGAUCCAUCUAACUGUAGAUAUACAGAAUUUACAUUCAAAAGUUAAGAUCUAUGUUGUUGUAAAUAUACGAUUUAUGUGUAUCAAAUUAAAUUAAACAACAGUAUUCUUCAAAAAUUUAAGCUGAUAGAGUAUGGUAUUUUUUUUUUUAUAUUUAACACUCGCUCUCCCAUUUGGACUCGAAAUCUUUUAAUAAACCCAUAAUAUGCACUUGUAUUAAAUAUAAAGAAAUAUGAUGUGAUUCAAAUACAGGAUCUCCAUCUGAAGCUGAUAGAGAACGAUAAUAUUAUAUUUUCAUAAUUAACAUAUAAAACAUGCUCCCACCCUUGUGAUAAUAUAUCUCUAAGGACUUGAUAGUUAGUAUUUGAAGUUUUAAGUUUGAAAUAUUUUUUUUUAAUUUUUUUCUUGAGUAUUUAUUCUCUAGAAUUUUCUUUAAAAUAAAAAAGAAAGGGUCAAAUGCAUACAGCUCCCUGCAAAUAUAGCCAAUUGCGGAUAUAUUCCUGCAAAAUCGAAACUCCAUAAGUUGUCCCUGCAAAAGUUUCAAGUUAUGCAGAUAUGUCCAUGCAGUUAACAUCUGUUAAUAAGCUGUUUGUUUUUUAACAGCGAAGUCGUGAAAUGACCAUUUUACCCUCACAAAUAUAUCCCUCCAAAAGUUUUCCUCUUUCCCUUCUCUUUCUUUUCCUUUUCGGACCGUCGAAGCAGACGACGGCGGCGGCGGCGCGGGGUCAGGUUCGCCGGCGACGAAGAAGAGGGAAGAACGCCGGGGCACCGGAGCUCUACCCGGAGCUCGUCGCCCUCAACGCCAUCCCCUCCCUCGUCGGCCUCCUCGGCCACCACAUCGCCGACAUCGCCGUCGACGUCGUCUCCCUCUUCAUCGACCUCACCGACGCCGACGUCCUCGGCGACCACGACGACCCCGCGCACGCCCUCGUCGCCGCCCUCGUCGACAACAACGCCCUCGAGCUUCUCGUCAAGAAACUCGUCCGCCUUUCCUCCGAGACCGACCCCGACGAGGUUCUUCUCCCUCGCCGGUGACGAAGAAGAGGGAAGAGGAAGAGGAUGAAGGAAGAAGGAAGAAGAAGGGAAAAGAGGAAGAGGGAAGAGGAAAAGGAAGAGGGUUCUCCACCGUCGCCGUCGUCGCCGCCGCAUCUCCUGGCCGGCGACGAAGAAGAAGGAAGAGGAAGAGGAGGAAGAGGAAGAAGGGUAAAUACGUCAAUUCACACUAUAAUUAACCAUGGUUAAGUAUUUUAACCAUGGUUAACGAAAAUUUUCUAACAGAUCUGGACGGUAGGGACAUAUCUGCAUAACUUAGGACUUUUGCAGGGAUAACUUAUGAAGUUUUCAAUUUGCAGGGAUAUAUCCGCAAUUUAUUAUGUUUGGAGGGACGUGUACGCAAAUAACCCGAAAAGAAAAAACAUGUAACUCUUUAACAUGACCUCACUGCUUACGUUUGAAAGAGCUAAUAAAUAAAGCCACUAGAACUUAAUUGCACUACAGCAGGUGGGUAUUUAAGCUGCAUUUGGUUCGGAUAUAAAUAAAAACAGCUUAUUUUAGGAACAAGUACAAGUUUAUGUAUAAGCAAAAAUUAAAUCAAUUUUUUGUUCAGAGGAAAAUUAGAUUGUUCUUGUGAAUAAAAUAAAUAGUGUUUGGAUAGUUAGAUUAGAGCAAGAGGAAUAAGAAUUAUAAUUCUAAAUUAAAAAUAUUUAUCUAAUUAAUUAACAUCAAAAUAUUAAUUAAAAAUAAUUUAAUAAAUUAAUAAGUUUAUUAGCUGUAAAUAUUGUAUAAGAUAAUAAAAGGAUAUUGAUCAACUAAUUAAAUAAAAAAAUAAUUUAAUUUUUUAAUUAGUUAGUAAAUUAUUGUAAUUAAAUAACUAGUAAAAAAUUAAUUAGAUUAAUAAAAAUAUUAAUGGUUGUUCAAUAUAAAUGUUAGUUUAUGGAUAAACAUAUUAAAUUAUUAAUAAUUAAUUAGUUAAUUAAUUACAAAAUAAUAAAUUAAUUAAUCACUUUAUUAUUUAAACAAUAAAUAAUGAUUUAAAUAUAAUAAUUAAAUUAGUUAAUAAUUUAAUACUGUAAUUAAAACUAAAUUUAAAUUUUAAUUAAUUUUGUUCCUACCCGGAAACAAAUUUGUUCGCGGAAAAAAAUGGUGGAACAAAUUUGGACCACCUUUCCUAAAGCUAGCUAGGGGGAUCGAUGACAUGCCCUUUGUUAGUACUGGAAAUGCUUCUUUCUUGUACUUCCGACAUGUUAAUCACAAGGACCAUAAAUUAAAUACUAUCAUUAAUUUAUCAAACAAAAUAUUAAUUAAUUGCUCUCCAAUUUGUCUGUUUGGCGGUUCUGAUGCACGGUAUAAUAUGCUAGCUGAGAUUAAUCUUUAAUCGCGAGAGAAGUACCAGCAUUCUUAACUAAUUAUAAUCUCCACAAACAGACGCAGAGCUAAUAUACUUUACAUCGACGAAACACAAGCAUACACACUACAUCGCAGCAAACAGUGAAGCAGAGUCGGAAGGCAAAGAUGAGAGCGUUGAGUACUCGAUCAAAGAUUCAUCACCAUCAGGUGGCCUUUCUCCUGCAGGCUCUUCACGGUCUCAUAGAGGCAUUGCAUCGCCGGCGUGAAUUCGAGGCCAAGGUCCUUCAACCGCUGGUUCGAGAACUUAUACGGUUGCUUUCGAGGAUUUAUCUCAUCUGAGCAUCUGCACAUAUAUGUAUAUACACACACACUCUUAAAACUUAGUAGUUACAAAAAUGUUAAUGAACAAUUAACAAUAAUUAACAAUAAUCUCAGGGCAUUUUAAUGAAAUAAUUGGAUUAUGGCCUAGAGAUUAGAGAGGGGGACUUCAGGUGACCUGGACUUAACUCAGUCCAACAAAUUUACAAGAAAAUAAAUGUAGGAUGAUGAUCCCUUGAAUAAAAUUACUAACUAUGUGGCCGUUUUAAUCGCCACGUAAUUUUGUUAGGCUUCAAAUUGCUACAAAAACUAUCUUAUUCCUUCAAAUUUUGAUAAUUAAGUAUACGAAUCAGAGAAUAAUUAAGUCACGCUCGACUAUAUAUCUUUGUUUUUUGUUGCUUUUUUCAUAAAUUAAAAAUAGAAAUGAUUUUCUUUGUAUUUAAAAUUUAUAUAAAAUUAUGCAACGCAUACACGGUCAAAACAGUUGUAUAAUUAGUAAUUUUGAUUAAAGAAAAAAGGCUAUAAAAUUCUUUGAAAAUUUUAAUAGAUCCAAUUGCCAAAGUCGGAGUUUAGAAAUCUUUAAAAAAAAAGCUAAAUUUCAAAAUGUGUUAAUACACUUUUUUUAAUUUACAAAAUUGUACCUAAACCAAAAAAAAAGAAAAGAAAAGAAAAAAAAAAAGCAUGACCUCAUUAACUAUGUCAUCACCUCACCUAUAACUCACUCAUAUUUGUUCCUGAAUAUAGGUCUUAUAUAUCAUUACCAUUUACUAUUCUUCUUUAACAUUCCAAUCAAAAUAGUACUUUAAUAAAGGAUCACAUGUAUAUAUAGUGAAUAAAAGUGAAAGAUGCCUUACUAAUUAAUAAAGUUACAAUCAAUCAAGUUAAAGCAGAGGCAAUAAUUGGUGGAAAAUGUUUUGCCUAGUUAGAUAUCACCUACCCAUAAUUAGUGACCACCACCACAUACAACACCAAAAUUUGGCAAUGAAUUACUAAUCAUCUUCCUUUAGAAUAUUGUUAUGGGUAGGAAAGAGAAAUGUUAGGAAAAUCCCCAACUACUGGCCAUUUUGAAAACCUUUAUGUAUCAUUUGAUGAUUUUACUUUGCCAAGUUGGUGGCCAAGUAAAAGCGAAACCAGUAUUUAGUUAGAACGUGUACAAAAUUAACUUACCAACUAUAUUAUGAUGAGAUACAGAGGAUUUUACUUGGUCACCGACGAUUCUUAUGUUUUGCAAAAUAAUUAUUGUUACAAUUAAUAGUUAUCAAUUGUAAUUGUACUUAUUGUUAGAAAGGAAAUAAAAUCUAGUAAUGCCUCUAUUGAACAAGCCUUAUAACUAAGAUAAAUGACAAAACAAAACUGAAACCUUAAUUUCAGUCAUUGAACACUUCUUUUUUGCUUUUAAAAAAAAAAAAAAAAAUGGAAUUGGAAGCUUGAUCUCCUACAACCCCAUCAAUCUUGAGUUCUCAAACUUUUAAUUUGUUGCAAUAUUUGACUCGAACUUUCAGAAUUAUUGCAAUCAAAUCCUAUAGCCCAAUUUUAGCAACUAAAUGUUGAUAAUCACUAAUGUAGGGAUAACGUAAUAGUGGUGCGAUUGAUGAUGCAUCAAUAAUUACGAUGUCACAUCACGUUACAUCAACGAUACAUUAAAAUUUGAUCAACUAAAUUGGAUUGUAAAACUUGAUUGCAAUAUUCUAAAAAUUCGAGUAAAAAAUUACUACAAAUUAAAGUUUGAGAAUCAAAGCGUUACCGACCACAUAGUUUGGGGACUUGUCCAUAAAUAAAUGAACAAUUAAGAUUAAACGUUUGGUUUCCUACCUAAGCCCCAGUAGGUUGGCAUAUUUUCUGUCACAUAAACUUGAUGAAUUAAACUCUUUUUGGAACUUUGGUUAGUUCCUUUUGUUUUUUCUCUUCAAGAAACAAAUUAGGUGACAACCUUAUAUCAGUUUGGUACAACCGAAUCAUUCACUUGUACAAUCUUUUUUUAUUAGUAGGGAAAACUUCAAAAACCCUCCCUGUGGUUUCACACUUUUUCAUUUUAGUACCAUGUGGUUUAAAGUUUAUCAAGUUAGUACCCUGUGAUUUCUCACUUUAUCACUUUAGUACCCUGUGGUUUAAAGUGUAUCAAGUUAGUACCCUGUGGUUUUGCACUUUAUCACUUUAGUACCCUGUGGUUUCACACUUUAUCACUUUAGUACCUUGUGAUUUAAAAAACCACAGGGUACUAACUUGAUACAAAUUAAAACCACAGGGNAAACAACGAUUUCAAGUUCUGUUUUGAUCUGUUGCAUCUUUUAAGAACACUUUCUCUAAAUAUUUUGUGUUUUCUAAGUUCAAGCCCUUCAUUCUUUGUUUCAUUAAUUGAUGUGUUAUUAUCUACUUAUCUCUUGGUAUUGCCAUUCUGGUUUCUGAAAAGCUUUAGUUUCUGUAAUUUUUGUGACCAUGCUAAUUCACUCCCAUGAUUUCCAUCAGGAGGGUUGAAGUGUAUAAGUAUUGUCAUCCAUUGAUACUCGACUGAUCUCAGUGUCGAAGCUCAGGACCUUAUGCUCUGAUAUUCAUUGCUCUGAUAUUCAUUGAUAUGACCAUGUUCGCAUGCAGCGUGUGUUGAUAAAUUUUUUGUAACAAAUUAGAUUAGCAAUAUAUCGUGGGAAAAAUUUUUGCUCCGACUGUGUAUUUCUUGUGGCGUGCAAGUGAACAAUACCUGACGUGACUAUGAAAAAGUUGUAAUGGAUUAUGAGAAUUGUAUUUUCCCUUUCCGGAAAGAGUACGUACAGUGAAAGCAAAAUUGUUUCUCUUUAAUUAAUUAGAUACAUGUUGUAUAAGUUUUGCGAAUUAUGAAUCUGAAUUUUGGUGUGUUUGUUCUCGCUACUGUGUUUUGUUUUAUUUUAUUAAGUGAAAUCUGUUUUCUUGCUUAGUCAAAUUAAAUGUUUGGCUUUGACAAUUCAAAAUGUUUUAUUUUAUCGUAAAGGGGUGUUUGGUUCCUCUGAAAAAAUAUUCUAGAAAAUAGUUUUAUAGCCGAAAAGGUGAACAAUAUGUGCUAGGGCUUUUUUUGCAUUUAGACCCCUGACAAAUUUUUAUUUUAAAAAUAGCCCUGUCAAAAUUUAAUUUGCAAAAAUGGCCCUCGACCUGCCACGCAGGCGCCACGUCAGCGCCACGCGGGCAGGGCUGUGCCCGUGUGUUAAGUUGAACACGGUGAACCAUUCACCGUGUUCAAACACGGUGAAUGGUUCACCGUGUUUAGUACGUAUUUUUUGUUACGUAUUUUUUGUAUAUUGAAAAGUGGAAUAAGGAGUAGGGAUGUCAAUAGAUAUGGAUAUCCGAAAUAUUAUUCGAAUUCAAACCCGAAUAAAUUAUAUAUAUAUAUANNNNNNNNNNNNNNNNNNNNNNNNNNNNNNNNNNNNNNNNNNNNNNNNNNNNNNNNNNNNNNNNNNNNNNNNNNNNNNNNNNNNNNNNNNNNNNNNNNNNNNNNNNNNNNNNNNNNNNNNNNNNNNNNNNNNNNNNNNNNNNNNNNNNNNNNNNNNNNNNNNNNNNNNNNNNNNNNNNNNNNNNNNNNNNNNNNNNNNNNNNNNNNNNNNNNNNNNNNNNNNNNNNNNNNNNNNNNNNNNNNNNNNNNNNNNNNNNNNNNNNNNNNNNNNNNNNNNNNNNNNNNNNNNNNNNNNNNNNNNNNNNNNNNNNNNNNNNNNNNNNNNNNNNNNNNNNNNNNNNNNNNNNNNNNNNNNNNNNNNNNNNNNNNNNNNNNNNNNNNNNNNNNNNNNNNNNNNNNNNNNNNNNNNNNNNNNNNNNNNNNNNNNNNNNNNNNNNNNNNNNNNNNNNNNNNNNNNNNNNNNNNNNNNNNNNNNNNNNNNNNNNNNNNNNNNNNNNNNNNNNNNNNNNNNNNNNNNNNNNNNNNNNNNNNNNNNNNNNNNNNNNNNNNNNNNNNNNNNNNNNNNNNNNNNNNNNNNNNNNNNNNNNNNNNNNNNNNNNNNNNNNNNNNNNNNNNNNNNNNNNNNNNNNNNNNNNNNNNNNNNNNNNNNNNNNNNNNNNNNNNNNNNNNNNNNNNNNNNNNNNNNNNNNNNNNNNNNNNNNNNNNNNNNNNNNNNNNNNNNNNNNNNNNNNNNNNNNNNNNNNNNNNNNNNNNNNNNNNNNNNNNNNNNNNNNNNNNNNNNNNNNNNNNNNNNNNNNNNNNNNNNNNNNNNNNNNNNNNNNNNNNNNNNNNNNNNNNNNNNNNNNNNNNNNNNNNNNNNNNNNNNNNNNNNNNNNNNNNNNNNNNNNNNNNNNNNNNNNNNNNNNNNNNNNNNNNNNNNNNNNNNNNNNNNNNNNNNNNNNNNNNNNNNNNNNNNNNNNNNNNNNNNNNNNNNNNNNNNNNNNNNNNNNNNNNNNNNNNNNNNNNNNNNNNNNNNNNNNNNNNNNNNNNNNNNNNNNNNNNNNNNNNNNUUCACACUUUUUCAUUUUAGUACCCUGUGGUUUAAAGUUUAUCAAGUUAGUACCCUGUAGUUUCUCACUUUAUCAAGUUAGUACCCUGUGGUUUUGCACUUUAUCACUUUAGUACCCUGUGGUUUCACACUUUAUCACUUUAGUACCCUGUGAUUUAAAAAACCACAGGGUACUAACUUGAUACAAAUUAAAACCACAGGGUACUAAAGUGAUAAAGUACAAAACCACAGGGUACUAACUUGAUACACUUUAAACCACAGGGUACUAAAGUGAUAAAGUGAGAAACCACAGGGUACUAACUUGAUACAUUUUAAACCACAGGGUACUAAAGUGAAAAAAAUUGAAACCACAAGGGGGGUUUUUGAAGUUUUCCCUUAUUAGUAUUAAUUUAACUUUUGUUUCCUUCAAGCGCAUGCAUGCGCAAAAGUGUUCUCUGUAAUAAAUAUUUCACACAGAAUUAUAUCAAGCCAAUACUAUUGAGAUGAAAAUACUUGGUUAAUUGUUGUUGUUUUUAUACAAAAUAUAUCCAUCUGUUACGAAGAAAAGUUAUUUCCCACUUAACCUUUCCACUCUCUGAAUUAACCAUCACUUCUCAUCCUAUAAUUUCUAAUACAGCUCCUUAGAAGCUAGCAAUUCUAUUGCAACCUAAAACAUAUGUAGAGAGGCCAACUGUUCCUAGCCCAAGCGACAAAAGUAUAUACAAUGGUUAGUAAUUGGGGAUCCCAGUUCGAAACAUAGUUAUUUUAUAGUAUGCUACUUUUUUAUUAAGAGAAAAAAAAAAAAGAGAGACAAAUUUAGAGAUGAGAAAUGCAUUUAGAGAUAUCAAUGGACACGGAUACGGAAAGUUUAUUUGAACUCAUACCCAAGCUUAGUAGAAUUAUUCAAUACUAAAUAAAUAUCAAUGGGCUUGGAUAUGAAUUUUUAUAUCCAUCAGAUUCGAAUUCAGUUUCGAAAUUUGGGUUUGAUAGUUGAGUUUAGAAACGAAUUCGAAUUUUUAAAAAUCCGUCUCAAAUCCGACCCAUUGACACUACUGCAUUGACAAUUAUUAUAUAUACCUGGUGGGGACGGGGUAUUCCGGGAAGAAUUUUCCGAGUAUCCGGACAACGUCCUCACGGUGGAGCACGCUCUCGGCGCACAGGUACCGUCCGGAGGCGGCGGGGGACUCGUAGACGCGCAGGUGGGCGUCGGCGACGUCGCGGACGUGGACGUAGGCCUGGACGGCGUUGGCGAAGGUGCGGGCGGAGCCGUCGAGGUACUUGAGCACGUGCGCGGUGCUAGCGUUGAUGCCCGGCUGCAGCAGCGGGCCGAGCACCAGCACCGGGUUCACCACCGCCAGCUCCAGACCCCGCUCCCGCGCCGCGUCCCACGCCGCCUGCUCUGCGGCAGUCUUCCCGUAACAAUACCAGUUCUAACCAUACCGUCACGCAUGCAUUCAAACAUAAAAUAAUAAUAAGAAUAAUAAUAAGUUCAGCCGUAAUUAACUGCAUACAAUUUUAGAAACUAACCAUAUGAUCUCGUACAUAACAACAGAUCGAAUUCGGAACGGAUUUUUAAAAAUUCAAACCCGAAUCCGACUCCAACCCUGAAAUUCGAACUCAAAUUCGAAACCGAUAAAUUUUAAAAAUCUAUAUCCAAAUCCGAUCCCGACCAAAAAUCUGGAAUCCGAAACAAUUAUUUCUUUUUUCAAUAUUUUAAAAUAUAUUACAUUAAAUCUAAAUUUUUAAAAUAUAAAUUCAAAUGUAACAUCAAACAUUUAUAUAUAAUAUUAUAUAUAAUGUAAAAUAAAUUUGGGUUUGGGUCGGGGUCGGGUUCGGGUCGGGUAUAGUCAAAAUCCAUAUCCGUCGGAUUUUUAUUUUUGAUAUUCAUAUCUAAAACCAUAUCUGUUUAGUAUAAAAUAAAUCCGCUCCAUUCGGGUUCAAAUUCAAAUAAAAUUUUGAAUAUCCGUACCCACUUACAUUCCUAGUUAUACAUACAAAUAUGAAAAAAAUUUAAGUGCAACUAUAUACAACUUUAGAUACUAAAAAGAUAAAUCUUUAUGUAACAAUACCAGCUCUAUCAUACAUACAGAAAAGAUAGGAAUAAUAAUGUAUUAUCCUAAAUAUUAUUUUCUGCAUGCAUUUUCAAUUUUACUUAGAUAUUUAAGUUUGAAAAAUUUUAUAUAAAUAGUAUUUUUACUCUUUUAAUUAUUAAAAAUAUUAUUUUUAUUGUAAAAUAUUUUUAAUAUUUUACUCUAUAUAAAGUAAAGUAGUUAAAACAAAUUAAUUAUUUUUCAUUUUGGUCAAAACCAAUAUUUCAAUUGACAGAAAAGUUGAGAUAUAAAACCACAAAAGUGUUUUAGUAAAAAGUUUAGGUCUUGUUUGAUACCGUUGUCGUUUUUUUUAUUUUUUUUGAACACUAUUUUUUAUAAUUUGAUGUGUUUAGUUUGUUAGCUUAUAAUAUAUUUGACUACAAUAAAUAGCAACUUAUUAGAAAAAUAAAAGUAAAAUUUUUUUUUUGCUAAAUAAAGUACUUAAUUUACAUGGAAAAAUUACUUAUAAUUCACAGUACACUCCUAUAGUUUUUAAUACCAAAAAAAUAUUUUAAAAAUAAAAAAGCGGACACCAUAUAUAGCAAAGGAGUCCUUAAUUUUUUGCUGUUGUUUCCAUAAUGGUUCUCCACGUCAUCAUCAUAUGCACCACAAGCUAUAAUGGUUCAUAGAGCUUCAUACUUUAAUCUCUCUAGUGUGAGUGGCAAACAUUUUACUGUUGUUCCUUAAUUUAAAUAUUCUAGCGAGUAUAAGUGAUGAGAAAGUGCAUGAGCUUCAAUUAAUGAUGUGAAUUAAAGCAUAAAGCUUGCUGCGUAGAAUGAAGUGGUGCACGUAAUUUUUGUUUAUAUCUUUUUGGGCAAAAAUGGCAAGUUUUUUUAAAGAGAAAUGCAAAGUUUACCUAGGACUCCUCGUUCAAGAACAAAUAGAAUCUAUUCACUUUAUUUUGAAAUUUUAAUUUUUUUUUAAAAAUUAUAUUUUUUAACUAUUUUUGUUAUUAUUAUACUUCCUAUAUAAAAAACAAAUAAAGAGAAAAAAAAGAAAAUUUAAUGUUUAGAUAAUCUGAAGAAAUAUUUGAGAUCUUUUAAACCAAAUUAAAAAAAGACAAAAUAAUAAAUACAUUAAAAAAAUUAAAAAAUUUUAAAUAACAAAUAAAUAAAAGUAAAAAUUGGUGAAACAACAGUAGCAAAAGUAGCUAUAGAUACAAUGAAAUUUAGAAUUGUAAAAGUUGAAAAAAAAUAUGCAAAAGUUAGCUCAAAGAAAAAUCAAUAGUCAAUAAAGAAUGAAGAAAAGAAUGAAAUAGAAUUAAUAGAAAAAGUUUUAAAAAAUGUUAUUAACCGACUGUCUCAAAAAUAUAUGACUGUAAUAGUACAAAAAUUGAUAGUAGUAAAGUAAAAAUAUAAUAUUCUUUUGCAACCCAGUUUUUUGCCGUUAGAUCUAAGCCUUUGAUCAUUUUCACCCGUUAGAUCAUAUUAUUCAACUAACCACCCACUCAAUCCUAGGGGGCCAAUAUUAACCUAAUCGGGGACCACUAUCAUCCUAACCGCAUAUCUCUUCAUCCAAUGGUUAGAAAUUUAGAAGUACAAAGUGGGCUAUACUCACAUGAGUAUAGUAGCCCUAGCCUAAAAGCAUUAUGAUUAGCACAAAAAAAAUACUUUAAAUAAUUAUUGCAAAAAUAUUUCUAAAUUGGCAAUGAAAUUAAAUUAUGUCAUAUAUAUAAUAGCAUUACGAUCAGGACCAGGAAAAAAAAAUUUCUAAAUUAUUCACAGCAACAAAUUGGAAGGCAAAAAAAAAAAANGAGGACCAGCCUCUCCGCGGCGCCGUCCAGCGCCUUCAAGUGCGCGUUCUUGGGGUCGUCUUCUCGCACCAAUCUCAAAGCGUUAAGUACCGUUCCAUCCCAUGCAACACCAAUCUUAAAGCAUUUCUCAUUUUCUAGCUACAUGCAUGCAUAUAUGCAUGCACGUAUGUAUAUAUAGAGAUAUAUAUAUAUAUAUAUUCAUAUGUACCUGGGUUACGUACGGUUCCUUUGACAGUGUAGCCCCUCUCCAAGAGGAGCUUGACGAGCCACGAUGCGAUGAAGCCCCCCGCGCCGGUGACGCACACGGUUCGGCCGUUUCCGGGGGCCGCUAAAGCCGUCGUGUCGUCGACGGUCAUGUCGUUUGAAGAUCUACCAAUUGAGAGCAAUUAAUUACCAAAAAAAAAAAAAGAAAGAAGAAGAAGUUUUAGAAGAGAAGGGUUAUUGCUUUGGUGGGAAACUAUGGUGGUGUAGUUGGAGAAAAAGGGAGAAGGGGAGGUGGUGUAUAUAUAAUAAGAAAAAGAAAGGUGGUGGGGCGUGUAGUGUAUAUAUAGAAGGUGAGAGUGAACACUACCUGUUUGGAUUCUCCCGAAUUUUAUAGCAGCAGAGUUUUUUUUUUUAUUUUGUACAAGCCAAUAUUGACAUCUGUAUAAAAGUGUGUGGAUGUUUUUCUAAAAAAAUGUCAAAAUGUAACAAAAAUAUCAUAAAAUACAAUAAACUUUUUGAAAAUAAAAAGAGCUCACAAUUAUAUAUGUUUUAUAAUUUUUUACUAUCAAAAUUUACCAAACUCAUAUUGCCCUUUCACAUAAGCACGGAAUGUUCUAGUAAUAAUAAUUAGUUUACGUAUUUUUAGUCGGGGGUUUAGAUACAAUAAGUUAUUAAUAAUUAUCUAUUAGAACAUUAAAUAUAUUAUAAGACAUUAUUAUACUACUAAAAAAUUUUAAUUUACUCAAAUAGAAGAUGGGAAAAGGGGGUAAGUAGGUAGCAUGGUUGAUUAAAUUUUGAUUUAUUCAAAUAGUGGGGCCCACUGUAAAAAUUGGAAAGAUUUUGAAGUUGUGGAUAUGGAAGCUAAAGAUUUGCAAGGUGAAGGAAAAAUAAGAAAUAAAAAAAUAAUAAAAAAAAAAGCAACAAUGCGCGGCAAUUUAUCAACCAGAGGAAAAUGCUUUAAUUUCAAAAAAGCGGGCACAAGGUGCAUCAUAUAUUUCGUGCGCCACAUCAUGGUUGGCAUUAAUUUUACAUCUACCCAUCUAACAGGUGUCAUUCUGUACUAAUUUUAUUAUUAUUUUUUAAUUAAAAAUUUAUUUAAUAUUUUAUGAAUCAUAGAGAGAGAGAGCUAGAGAGUCGGAAUCACCGUUAGAUUUAACCAUUUUAUUAUUUUUAUCCGUUAGAUUAUACUAUUCAACCAACAACUCACUCAACUCUAGGGUACCCAUAUUAUUCUAACCGUACAUUUCUUCAUCCAAAGGCCAAAAACCUAAUAGCACCAAUAACUUGGUGCUAUUAAUAACAUUCCGGCCUAUAUAUAUAUAUAUAUAUAUAUAGAGUGAGGCUACUAUGCUAUCGGAAGCACGGAGCCUUCUGUGCUUCCAGCUCGUUUUCGAUGUUACGACUUUCGAAUCGUCGAUCUGCUCCAUUAAACUUGAUCUAGACUAUUUGGAGUACCUAGAAAAUAAAUUUUAUUAUUUUUCGAUAUCAUUUGCCUAGUGAUCGAAUGAGCUCAAAAUCAAUAAAUUUCAAUGACCGUAGUGAGCCGUUUGCAAGUUUAACGGUAUAGAAAUAUCCAAAUCACGUGAAAUUUUGAUAGAAAAUUCUUUAUAAUAUAUAAAACAAGAUCAAUAUCUUUGAUUUAAAAUUUUAAUGUCAUAUUAUUACAUUUUGUAAGAUUUUUAUUUUCAGCCGUUGAUUUUGAGCCCCUUCGUUCACUAGGCAAAUGAUAUCGUAAAAUCAUAAAAUAUUCUCUAUGUACUUCAAUACUCUAGAUCAAUUACUCGGAACCGAUCGACGAUUCGAAAGUCGCAACAUCGAAAACGGCUGGAAGCACAGGAUGCUCCGAUGCUUCGAAAAAAAAGUGCCUCCUUAUAUAUAUAUAUAAAAUAUCUAUAUAUAUAUAAUAGUGGCGGUUAUGUCUUCUAAAGUACUGAGCCCGUUCCAUGCCUUUCAAGUUCUGUUCGAUAUUCGGUACUUAUCGACAUCGACGAUCGUCUCGCUGUUAGAGUUGAUUUUACGAUAUUUAUAAAUAACUCCAAGAAAAAUAAAUUUGCGAAUUUAUUCGAUAUCAUUUGCCUAGUGAUCGAAGGGGCUCAAAAUUAAUAAUUUUAACGGCCGUGGCAAGCCGUUUGCAAGUUGAACGGUAUAGAAAUAUCUAAAUCACAUGAAAUUUUGAUAGAAAAUUAUUUAUACCGUAUAAAACAAGAUCAAUAAUUUUGAUCUAAAAUUUUAAUGUCAUAUCAUCAUAUUUUGUAAGAUUUUUAUUUUCAGCCGUUGAUUUUGAGCCACUUCGAUCACUAGGCAAAUGAUAUCGAAAAAUCGCAAAAUUUAUUUUCUAGAUACUUCAAAUACUCUAGAUCAAGUCUAAUAGAGCCGAUCAUCGAUUCGAAAGUCCGAAUAUCGAAAACAACUUAGAAGCACGGAGCGCUUCGUGCUUCCAGAAGCAUACCAGACGCACUCACACACACACACACACACACACACACACACACAUAUAUAUAUAUAGUCCGGCCAGAAUACUAUCGAUAGCACCAAGCAUUUUGUGCUAUCAAGUUUUCCACCGUGAGAUUUAACCCUUUAACUAUUUUCACCCGUUAGAUUAUACUAUUAAACCAAUAACUCACUCAACCCUAAAGGGCCCACAUCAUCCUAACUAUACGAUUUUUAAUCCAAGAGUCGAAAACCUGAUAGCACUAAACGCUUGGUGCUAUUGAUAGUAUUCCAGCCUAGGUCUAUAUAUAUAUAUAUAUAUAUAUAUAUAUAUAUAGAGAGAGAGAGAGAGAGAGAGAGAGAGAGAGAGAGACUAUCGUGCUUUUGUAAAAGUACCAAUUAGCACAUGGUGCUUAUAUAUUUUUUACUGUUAGAUUUACGUCUUUUAUCAUUUUCAACCAUUAGAUUAUACUAUUCAACCAACCACCUACUCAACCUUAGGGGGUUCACAUUAUCCUAACCACACAUAUCCCUUAAUCCAAUGGCCAAAAAUCUACAAGCACCGUACUCGGUACUUUUAAAAGCAUAGUAGCUCAUAUACCACCCACUUAACCCUAGGGGGCCCAUAUCAUCCUACCCACAUAUCUCUUAAUCCAAUGACUAAAAAUCUACAAGCACCAAUAACUUGGUACUUUUGAAAGUAUAGGAGCUCAAUUUUAUAUAUAUAUAUAUAUAUAUAUAUAUAUAUAUAUAUAUACUUUUCAACCAAUUAACUACCUACUCAACCCUAGGGGGCCCACAUCAUUCUAACCGUACAUCCCUUAAUCCAAUGGCCAAAAAUCUAUAAAUACAAAUAACUUGGUACUUUUAAAAGUACUAGCCGAGCAUACGUGCAAAUGCACGUAAAAAUUAUUUUAAUUUAUUUUAAAUAUAAAGUUUUAUAUUAUAUUUAUUAAAAAAUUUAUAAUAAAAAUUAUAUUUUAUAAAUGAAUAUAUUAUAUUUUAUUAGAUAAUUUUUUUCAUAUAUGCAUUGAAUAUUUUUAUAUAUUUUUUGAAUUUUGAUAAAUUUAAAAUUAUAUUAUAUUAUUUAAACUAAAAGCUCAAAAUUUAAUUAAAUAUUAACUUUAAAUUUCAAUUUUAAUUCACGUGUAAAUAAAUAUUUUAAUUCAUUAUAUUCAAAUUUGUAUCAAAUUAUAAAUUUAAAUUUUUAAAAAUUAUAAUUUUGAUCCAUUGUAAUAUAAAAGCAAUUUUAACAGAUUGAUCACAUCAUUUAUUUUUAAUUGAGAUACUUUUUUUAACAAAACCUGAAUUAUAAUCGUUCGCGAACAGGGAAUAUUCGUUUUAUUCUUUUUGAUUUCGUUGGUGUUUUUAUUAGUUGUUUUUAUUGGUUACUUCUUUUUGAAUUCGUCUGUCAUUGUGGGAAUUUCUAUAUCUUUUAUAAUACGUAUAAAUAGGAGACUCAAUUAUUAUUAUAUUAUAUAGAGAGAGAGAGAGAGAGAGAGAGAGAUUGAGAAAGAGAGAGAGAGAGAGAGAGAGAGAGAGAAGAAGAGAGAGAAGAGUUGGACUGGGCUACUAUAUAGGGCAAAAUUUAUUGUUGCUAUAUUUUUUUUAGCCUUAAUCAACUCUUUUCAUUAUUUCUAACCAUUGGAUUAAAUACUAUAACCCAGUGGGGACCACUCAACCCUAGGGGGACCACUCAACUCUAAUCGACUAAUAUCAUCCUGACCCUAUAAUUUUUCAUCCAAGGGUUAAAAACUUGAUAGCAAAAAGAAAAUUUUACUAUUAAUAAUAUUACAGUCUAAUUAUAUAUAUAUAUAUAUAUAUAUAUAUAUAUAUAUGAUUUUUAUUUUUUUUUUUUCGGAUUCAGCGAUAGUAAUAGACCUGCGGAAUCAACCUCCGCUAGUGGAUGGGAGUGCGGGUCUACAUCGCAACGGCAUUUUUGGAUUCCACCGUUUCGAUUGCCUUUAAAAUUUAUCGGCGAUCGGUCAACAACAACUACAUUGCAGAAGUGGUGUCUACGCCAAUAAUUUAGGGUCUUUACAGUUUGUGGAUACAAUUUAAAUUGCCUUUUCUUACAGUCACUAUUGUUCUUCCACUACAACAAAUUUUGAACAACAAAAUAUUUGAGGAUACUUUAAAUAAUAACUAACGAUAUUUUAUAAUAUCGGCAAAAAUAAUUCCGACGAUGGUAAAAGUGUCGAGCAAAGAACGAUGGAAAAUUUUUAUUAGUAUUUGGUAAAACUAUAGUUAUCGGCGACGCUUAAUUAUAGUAUCGGCACACGUCAAAUACUGAAUAUGCUAGAAUAAAGUGUUGUCUAAAAAAUAUUUUGUUGCAAUGUUCAAAUGUGUUAUAUAUUGUCAAAAAUUAAAGUAUUACCAUAUGAAUUCAAAAUUUUCUUCUCUAAUACUAAGUUAAAUAAUAUAAACCAUAAUUAUUCCCAAAAUCUUUAAGGUGUUAGAAAAAGAUAUUUAAUAUCAUGUAUUCAACAUAUAUUCAACUAAUUUUCUAAAAAACAAUGGCUAAAAUAUAAAAAACCUACUUGUAAAUACUUUUUUUUGUUUUUUUCUGACUUUGAAAAAUUUAUUUUUUAUCCCACCAAAUUUUAAGUUGAUGCAUUUUGCCCUCUUUCAUUUGGAUUCCAUCGCUAUUCCGUCUUAUUUUUAUAAUUUACAUCAAAAAAAUUAUUAAAAAUGAUAAAAAUAUAUUAAUUUUUUUCUUAUAAAAUAAGUCAGGGUAAGUUGGUCAUUUCGUCAUCGAUCUUUAUUAACCACGUAAUCCGUUGAGAACAUUUUUUAAAUUUUAAAAAAAUAAAAUAUAAAUUUUUAAAAAAUAAAAAAGUAAAACAAUAUUUAUUUACAUAGACCUUUUUUAUAUUGUGGCAAUAAACAUUCAAACAAAUAUUAUUAUUAGGGUUAUUAUUACUUUACUAUAUAUGAUUUAUUAUGAUCCACAAGAGGUGGAUGCAUGGGAGUGGUGGUGCACAUACAUAUGGGAUCGAGAGGUCCCCACACAAUAAAAUUUAAAUAAAAAGAUUAUAAGUGGCCGUCGGUACGGAUCGUAUCCACCGUGUUAUACUGUACCAACAAGAUACCGGCACGAUACAAAUCCCGUACCGAUGGCACAGCUCAAAACCCUCUAUUUUUUAAAUUAGUAAAUAAUUUUUUCAAUAAAAUUCAAAAGAUAUGAUAAAAAGACAUAAUAAUUAAAUAGUUAGAAUAUUUUGUUACUAAAAAAAUAAAUAUUUCAUAUUACUAUGUGUCGGCACAUAAGAAUUUUUUUAACCGACAAGCAUCGGCACAGCUCGGCACGCACCAUACCGGCAAGUUUCAGGCACGAUUCCGUGCUACGACACUUAAAUUCUUGGUGAAACUAUAAAACUAGUAUUUAAAAAAAAUUUUAUAUAUAUUUUUUCAAAAUUUUAAGUUGAGGAAAGUGUAUAUGCACGUGUGUUGUGUGCGUAGUGCGUGUAGUGUGUGCGCCGGUUAAAGUAGAGGAGGAGAGUGUACCAUGAGCUGCGUGAUGUGGGGGUGGUCGGAAACACCCCGCGGUGGUGGUGGUGGUGGUGGUGGAGGUGGAGGUGGUGGUGGUGGUGGCGGCCCACGUACCGUUUUGUGGGAGACGAGAGGAUGACAUAAGCUCGCGAGAACGGUGACGACAAAUUAAGUCUUCUAUUUUGCGUGCAUGCCAUUUUGCGCCAAAUCAAUUUUAUAAACAGUGCUGGAAUGCUUUUACGAGUGCCAAAUUCUUUGUGCUUAUAUUUUUUUGGCCUCUUCUAUAUAUUGUGUAUGAUCUAUGGAGCAGAACUUUCAAUUCGUAUAUAAUAGAGUAAACUUAGAAAUACUAUCUCUAUGAUUUUGUACUUUUUUAUUUUAUUAGCUUGUGAUUUAAAGUGUAUCAGUUUAGUACUCUGUGAUCUAUUAUAUAUAAAAAAUAUCAAAUACUACAUAUAUAGUUUAUCGAAUAUUUACUUUAAUAUCUUUUAGUUUUAAGUUUGUCACUAAUUUAACGAAAAAAAUUAGUGGAAAGGAAUAACAAAAAUAAAAAAAUAAAAUCACAUGGUACAAAAAUAAAAAAGUAUGAAACCAUAAGAAUAGUAUUUAAAGUUUUUCCUAUAUAAUAUCUAAUAUAAAAAAUCGCUAAAUCUGCAACCAAAAAGAGCUAUAUUUAUACUGCUCCUUGUCCAAAAAUUCUAGGUUUCCUAACUUUUUUUUUUUUCAAUUUUUAGUAAAAAUGAAACAAUGGAGUAAUAAACUUAUAGGAAAAAAGUGGGCUUUGGAUGAUGCAGUAGUGGCAGGACAAUAGCUAGAGAAGAGGGUAAGAGUUUUUUAUUUGUUCUGUGUUGUGUGGUGCCCCUUAAAAGUUUGCGCAUGUAGCUAUUUCAUAAUUUUAUUUUUAUUUUAGGCGAAAUUCUAAAAAACUCUUCUCUAAAUAUUUGUUUUUUUAUUUUUUUCUGACUUUUAAAAAUCUAUAUUUUGCCUGAAAAUUUUUAAAAUAUUUUUAGGAGAGUACCGUUAAUAGAGAGAGCAAAAUAACCAAAUGACCCUUACUUCUUCUAUAAAAGAAUAACUUUUUAAUAUAGUUCUGUAAUUUUGAAGGAUAUUUAAAUAUAAAUUAUAAGAAAUAAAUAAAAUAGUGAUGGAAUCCUGAAUUGUAAUUUGAUAAUAAUGUUUAGGCAGUGUUUGGUUUGGAAACUAGGGGGGAAAUAGGGGUUAUUCCCCCUUUGUUCCCGAAACAAGAAAGGGGCUAAGGUGGGAACAACUAUUCCCACCUGAGAGUGGAACUACGCGUUCCCACCUCUCUCGCCCCACUGUUGCCCCUCUCUCUCGCCGAAGCUACCGUUCCCCUUUCCACUUCCUCUUCCAUCCACGGUUUACUGUGCGCGUUCGAUCGACGAUCUUCUUCCUGUUGGCUUAAAUGGGCCAGCAUCCUGCCCUGUGGCUGGAGGCCAUGUGGGCCGAGUCAUAUUCGAAAUGGCGUGAGGCUGGGUUGGGCCGAGUCAUGAUCGAAGUGGCGUGAGGCCAGGUGGACCAAGUUACAAUCGAGACCCAUGGGCGCUGUUUCUGUACGCUUUAAGUAAAUUGGUUGCGUAUUUCUAACAGCUCGAGCUUUUGGGAUUAAUGGUUAGCGCCAACGAUCCGACAAGUGGUAUCAGAGACAGAGGUCACGGGUUCGAUUUCUGCAUGCUGCAAAUGUGUGCACGUGCUGGAGGGGGGAUUGUUGGCCUAAAUGGGCCAGCAUCCUACCCUGUGGCGAGAGGCCAUGUGGGCCGAGUCAUGUUCGAAAUGGCGUGAGGCUUGGUUGGGCCGAGUCAUGUUCGAAGUGGCGUGAGGCCAGGUGGGCCGAGUUACAAUCGAGACCCAUGGGCGCUAUUUCUGUACACUUUAAGUGAAUUGGUUGCGUAUUUCUAACAGCUCGAGCUUUUGGGAUUAAUGGUUAGCACCAACGAUCCGACACUUCCAUCCUUCGACAGAUCUGAUGCCAUCGGAUCUCCUAAUGCUACCUCCUCUUCCUCCUCGGAUCUCCUAAUGCUACCUCCUCUUCCUCCUCGGCACCGUCCCUCUCUCUCCGAAGCUGUCGCUCCCAUUUCCUCUUCCUCUUAACUCCGUGGUUUACUGUGCGCGUCCGAUCUACGAGCUUUUUCUAUCCUUUGACAGAUCUAGUGCCACCGGAUCUCCUACGGCUACCUCCUCUUCCUCCUCCGCACCGCUUUGCCUCUCCUCCUCCCCGCUCGGCUUCGUCCUACUCCUCGGGUUGGCCGACGGCUGCGAUCGAUAUGAUUUUGGAGCUUUGGCCUCGACCCUAGACAGCAGAUCUGCUAGAUCUGGCUUUAUAUUACACAAGAAAAAUCCUUUUGUGUGCUCUUCCCCCUCUCUGUAUGAUUUUGUGGCUUUCGCCCGACGCCCGCCACUAGCGCAGGACCCUGUCUGUGGUCUCACGUCUCUCCGGUCAUCUGUACCUAUCCUCCUUCUCUCACUGCUUCUUGCUGCAACUUGGAGUGCCGUACAAUUGUCCUCUGCAGUCCCUAGAUCUAUUCGGCCGAGCCCUGUAUGCAGAUCUUGUAAAUCUGAUUAUACCCGAGCCAUUUUUCUUUUACUUUUGCAGGUAAUUUGUUUCCACGGCAAUGCCGCUUCGUGUUGAAAUCCCCUGUUUGUGCAUCCCCUGUUUAUUCUGAUCCCCAGCUACGAUAAGGUUUGGUCUUAUCAAGAUUUCAUUGCUCUAACAUCCAAGUUUGCUCUAACCUUUUUUAUGAUUAGAGGAUAUAUGACUUGCUGCUUUGCAUGAGAAAAUUCUAUCCAUAUCUGAUCUUUAUUUAUGAUUACUCUAUGCCGUCGCUAAAAUUCAGAACCCUGUGGCAGCAUGUUUUUAUUAUAACUCUAAUUUAUAUGUUUGUCGGAAUGCAUGAUAUAGUGAGAAAUUGAUUACAGUAGUUUGUAUGGUAAUGAAGGAUGCGAAAGAUUGUUUUGGCGAUGAUGACGGUUUCGAAUAGCAUUAGAUGGAUGGCAUGAUUCUAGAAAUCAAUACACCCCAUGCUCCUUGGAAACCAUUUUGAGCCGCAUGACCCAAUAUCACACCAUAAGAUGCCGAUUUCUAUCUUAUUAUACAAUCUUUCAAGUGCAUCAUUUGAUUCUAAUCAGUUAUAGUUGUCAUAUGCCUUCACUUGUAUUUCAUUGUAAUAAGUUUCUAAUACUUCAGUUUUGAAAAUAGUCUUCCAUAUGUUUGAACAUAGUCAAACAUAAAUAUGCUUAGCUAGUUUAAUUUGUACAUUUCUCUCGCCAUCUUUAUUAGCUUCUUGACCGUAAUGUAUAUAUGAUGUUAUGAGCUUGUCACAUACACAUACUUAAUUGUGUCAAUCCACAUGAAUGGUAUGGCAGUGAAUUGCUAUUUGCUUGAACCACAUAUGCCUCCUGUCAAGAAACCAUCUAAGUCUGCUCAUGAGAAAGGUGUGGUGUUUGAAACCAUACCAAUAAAAAAUUUACAUGUGGAAGGUAGUAGCAGAUUGUAUAACCAAUUUUGGAAGCGAACUCCAAAUUGGACCGACAGUAUGGAUGCUACCUUGCUUAGUCUACUGACAGAAGAACACGCUUCAGGAAACUAUACCAAUGGGUCGUUCACAAACGUUGCGUGGAUUAGAAUAAUAACUGAUUUCAACAGUAGGACCAAUAUGAACUUGACAAGGGAGCAAAUAGAGAACCGGCUUAAAGUGCUAAAGAAAAUGUUCAUGUUGUACAACUGUCUUGCAAAUAAGAGUGAGUGGGGAUGGGAUUAUGUCCAGAACAUUCCCACGGCUGGUGAUCGAAGUUACUGGGAUGCAUAUUCCGGUAGUUGUCCGAAAGAGCAAGCAACCACGAUUUAGGUGUCGCAAAGGAUUUACAUCACAGGAUAUGAUGGCUGCUGUAUCCUUUGAUCAUAUAUUUCUAUUUGUAUGUAUAUGAUGGGAAGGUUCAGCAACUGAUAUGAGAGUAUUAAGAUGAGCUUGCGAAAGUGGAGGGUUUACUGUUCUCGAAGGUAUUUGCCGUUUAUUUACUUUUUCGAAUAUUAUACUGCAUAUUACUUAUGAAUGAUCUUAUAUUACAAUUUGAGACUUACAUUUCUCGACAAUGUUCGCAGGCAAAUAUUACUUGGUACAUUCUGGAUAUGCUAAUAUAGAUAAAUUUUUUGCCCCAUAUCGUGGAGAGAAAUACCAUCUUAGUCAAUUUGAGGGUAAUACGCGUGGCCGCACACAUCGCAAUCCGCGGGACUUGUAUAAUCAUCGGCAUGCUCGACUACGAAAUAUUGUAGAGAAGACUUUCGGCAUAUUGAAGAAGCGUUUCAAGAUUCUAAAUCAUGCAACUCCAUCCCCCUAUAAAGUCCAAUAUCUUAUUGGUAUGACAUGUUUUGUCAUACACAACUUUAUUCGACGACAUUACGGAGCUGAUAGAUUUUUUACUGAAGAUUUGACCCAUCGUCUCCUAAGGAUGAAGAAGAAGAUCCGAGCUAUUUCGGCGCCACGUCGGACUCACAUCGGGGCGACGAUAUUCGAAUUAGUAUCACAGACCAGUUAUGAAAUAGUAGAAAUUAAUUAUUUAAACUGUCAGUUGAAUUAGAUUGAUUUAAAUGGGUAUGCUUCCAGAUGUGAUAAUUAUAUGUGCUUGUAUGAAAUAUGUAGACAUAUUUCGCUUUGAUUGCAUACUUAGUAAUGUCUGCUACGCUUUUGUAACCGUUUGGAUUGUUUUUAUUUUAUUAUGUUUUAUUGUAAAUAUUUGGUAUAGUUUGUUACAUAGUCUUUGUUGUAUUAAUUAUUUGCUAACAUGAUUAUAAAUCUUUUUGCAGUAUUUGUAACAUAUGGUAUGUAACAUAUGUAUUGGAAUAUUUUUAUUUUAAUUUGUUUUACUAUAGUUAAUUAUUUGGUAAUAUGGUUAUAAAGCUUAUUGCAGCAUUAUUAAAUACAUUUAAUUUUAGGAAAAGUUUAAUUUAAUUAUAACGAGCGAAAGUUUGCUGAAAAAAAUUUAUUUUCAAAAAUAAUAUUUUUUUUUAACAAUAUAAUAAUUAAUUAAAUAAUUUUACUACAACAAAAAAGAUUAGAGUAAUUUAUAUUUAUAUUUAAUUAUACCACAUUUUGCUUUUAUAGGAUUAGUGGCACGAGGGAUAAAAACUUAAUUUUAACUUUUAACCAACAUUUAUUCAUCUUAUUCUAUCUUAUACAUCCAAACACUAUUUUUCUUAUACCUGAUACAAAUCUAAUACUCAACCAAGCACAAAAUGCAAUAGUUCCAGCUAGUUCCAAUAUUUGCAUCUAUCUCUGAAAUAAGUAGUUCUAGAUUAUACCCGAACCAAACGAUACCUUAGAGUAUAAUAAUGACAAUGUCGUGUAAUCUACAACAUUGUGGGGGACCCAACUGGAGUACCCGUAGUAAUGCUCUAUUUGAUGUCAUUAGUAUAAGCCAAUAUUGUUCAGUGGAGGAGGAACGUGAUGAAGCUUGUCCCUAUAGAAUAUUACUCGCAUUCAAAUAGCAUCCACCUAAGGUGCCGAGUCCACUGAAAAAUCAUUGGAUGGUACUACUUUUUGCAUCGCCAUUAAUAAACAAGUUGCAUCACUACUAUUUUUGUACUGUGACAGGAGAGUGGUAGAUUCUGUUUUCGUUUUAAUUUUUGCUUUUUCUUGUUAAAACAUUAAACUAAUAUAAGUAUAAAAAUUAAAGUUUUUACUGCAGCAAAAAGCAGAGAUGAUAUUCAAAAAAGCGAAAUAAACAAAUUUUAUGCCCUAUUUGGUAUUCCUGUUCUUUUUUUAAAAUAAAUUUUUUGUAAUAAAGUAUGAGUAAAGAGCAUAAAAAUAGUGCAGUUUAGUUUUGUUUGGCAACAAAGAAUAAAGAUACUGUAAUACUAUUUUUCCUUUUUCAGGUUUGUAAUUGAAAAAACAAAAACUUUCUAGCAUCCAACUGAGUUGCAACACAGUUUUUAUAAAUAAAAAUGAAUAAAUGGCAUGAGGUCUUAAUAUAAAUUUUUUUUAUUCUACUAAGAAAAUGUGUCAUCUAAGAUAGGUUGAGAAAAUAAUGACAACAUCUAUAUAUAUAUAUAUAUAUAUAUAUAAUUGAGCUCCUAUGCUUUUAAAAGUACCAAGUCAUUGGUACUUUUAAGUUUUCGGCCUUUGAAUUAAGGAAUGUGCGGUUAAAAUGAUAUGGACCCCUUAGGGUUGAGUGGGUGGUUGGUUAAAUAGUAUAAUCUAACGAAAAAAAUGAUCAAAGGCGUAGAUCUAACGGUAAAAAAUUUACAAGCACCAAGUGCUUUGUACUUUUACAAGUACCGUAGCCAGACUCUAUAUAUAUAUAUAUAUAUAUAUAUAUAUGAGUCCGGCUACUAUACUUUUAUGAGUAUUGGUUCACUUAUACUCAUAAGUUUUCGGCCCUUAGAUUUAUUCCAUGAUCAUUUCCACCCGUUAGAUCAUACUAUUCAACCAACUACCCACUUAACCCUAGGGGACCACUAUCAUUCUAAGUGGGGACCACCAUUAUCCUAACCACACAUUCCAUCAAUCAACGGUUAAAAAUUUAUGAGUACAAGGGGUUCUAUACUCAUAAGAGUAUAGUAGCCCCAGCAUAUAUAUAUAUAUAUAUAUAUAUAUAUAUGUCGUGAUGACGAUGUACUACGAUGUACUGUGUUAACGAUAAGGACAUAUUGAAAAAGGAUAUUACUAAAAAAUAUUUGAGAAAAAAUAUAGGUGAAAAUAAAAAGAUAUUACUAUAAAAUAUGGUCUCAAAAAAAAUAUUAUUUUGUGUGUGAAUAAUAUUAAUGGACAAUCCGAAAGAUUUGGCAUAGUGUAGAUAUUAAUAUAUGCAAAGAUAAAUUGGAUAGUAUGGAUUAUAUCACAAGAUAAAUUGGAUAGUGUGUCUAUUAUAGUGUAAAAAUUUUAGAUCAUUAUAUGCGAGUAUAUUAAGAUAUGCUCUGAUUUGAGAAACACGUAAAAUAUUCUCGACGGCGGUAUUUCUUUUGAUAUUUUACUAAAAAAAUUCAAAAUGUAAAAAUUAUAUUAAUUAACCAUUUAGUUUGCUUUAGGUUGGUAUAAAUCUUUUAUGAACAUUCCUAUUGUGAUUGACAGAGAUAUUAGUGUGAGAAAGAAUAUUUAAGAAACACGUAAAUGGAGAUAACGGAUAUUUUAAUUUAUUGGCCGCUUUGAGAAUAACGUGUCGAUAGGAUAAAUUUAUUUAAUUUUAUUUUAUUUUAUUAUGUGAUUGGUGCUAUUACGUGUAGAAUAAAAUAUUUUAGAACGCCGUAAAUAGAUAUAAUUGUUAAGUUAUGACGAAAAUUACGUUUAGGAAAAUGCGUGAUAUUUGAUAAAACGCGGUAAGAUAGGAGAUAAUGGAUAUUGAGGGUAAUUUUUGUCAAGAAAAGUGACAGGAUACUUUAUUUUAAUCGUGGAUGAGAUUCAAUGAUAAAAAACUUAAGAUCUAUAUUUGAGAAUAUUUAUUAUCGGAAAAUUAUUUGAAACGAAUGGAUGAAAAUUACUGGACAUGAAAAUAUUAGUAGAAAGGGUAGACGUAUUUUUGGAAAGAGGAAAAAAAUUUAAAAAUUCACGGCUUUUAGUAAUAGGGUAUAUAAUAUAUAUAUAUAUAUAUUAUAGUAUAUAUAUAUAUAUUAUAUAUUAUAUAUUAUGUAGAGUUAGGUCUUAUGCUUUCGGAAAGUACGGUAUCCUACUUUGAGUUGUUUCUCGAUAAUGCGGACAUCCGAUUCGGCAAUCGGUUUCGUUAAACUUGAUCUACGCUAUUGGACUAUUUAGAAACCAAAUUUCAUAAUUUUAUGACUUCNNNNNNNNNNNNNNNNNNNNNNNNNNNNNNNNNNNNNNNNNNNNNNNNNNNNNNNNNNNNNNNNNNNNNNNNNNNNNNNNNNNNNNNNNNNNNNNNNNNNNNNNNNNNNNNNNNNNNNNNNNNNNNNNNNNNNNNNNNNNNNNNNNNNNNNNNNNNNNNNNNNNNNNNNNNNNNNNNNNNNNNNNNNNNNNNNNNNNNNNNNNNNNNNNNNNNNNNNNNNNNNNNNNNNNNNNNNNNNNNNNNNNNNNNNNNNNNNNNNNNNNNNNNNNNNNNNNNNNNNNNNNNNNNNNNNNNNNNNNNNNNNNNNNNNNNNNNNNNNNNNNNNNNNNNNNNNNNNNNNNNNNNNNNNNNNNNNNNNNNNNNNNNNNNNNNNNNNNNNNNNNNNNNNNNNNNNNNNNNNNNNNNNNNNNNNNNNNNNNNNNNNNNNNNNNNNNNNNNNNNNNNNNNNNNNNNNNNNNNNNNNNNNNNNNNNNNNNNNNNNNNNNNNNNNNNNNNNNNNNNNNNNNNNNNNNNNNNNNNNNNNNNNNNNNNNNNNNNNNNNNNNNNNNNNNNNNNNNNNNNNNNNNNNNNNNNNNNNNNNNNNNNNNNNNNNNNNNNNNNNNNNNNNNNNNNNNNNNNNNNNNNNNNNNNNNNNNNNNNNNNNNNNNNNNNNNNNNNNNNNNNNNNNNNNNNNNNNNNNNNNNNNNNNNNNNNNNNNNNNNNNNNNNNNNNNNNNNNNNNNNNNNNNNNNNNNNNNNNNNNNNNNNNNNNNNNNNNNNNNNNNNNNNNNNNNNNNNNNNNNNNNNNNNNNNNNNNNNNNNNNNNNNNNNNNNNNNNNNNNNNNNNNNNNNNNNNNNNNNNNNNNNNNNNNNNNNNNNNNNNNNNNNNNNNNNNNNNNNNNNNNNNNNNNNNNNNNNNNNNNNNNNNNNNNNNNNNNNNNNNNNNNNNNNNNNNNNNNNNNNNNNNNNNNNNNNNNNNNNNNNNNNNNNNNNNNNNNNNNNNNNNNNNNNNNNNNNNNNNNNNNNNNNNNNNNNNNNNNNNNNNNNNNNNNNNNNNNNNNNNNNNNNNNNNNNNNNNNNNNNNNNNNNNNNNNNNNNNNNNNNNNNNNNNNNNNNNNNNNNNNNNNNNNNNNNNNNNNNNNNNNNNNNNNNNNNNNNNNNNNNNNNNNNNNNNNNNNNNNNNNNNNNNNNNNNNNNNNNNNNNNNNNNNNNNNNNNNNNNNNNNNNNNNNNNNNNNNNNNNNNNNNNNNNNNNNNNNNNNNNNNNNNNNNNNNNNNNNNNNNNNNNNNNNNNNNNNNNNNNNNNNNNNNNNNNNNNNNNNNNNNNNNNNNNNNNNNNNNNNNNNNNNNNNNNNNNNNNNNNNNNNNNNNNNNNNNNNNNNNNNNNNNNNNNNNNNNNNNNNNNNNNNNNNNNNNNNNNNNNNGUUUGUCUAGUGAACGAGUAGCCUCAAAAUGAACGGCCGAAAAUAAAAAUCUCAUAAAAAAUAGUGAUAAAGGACUCAAAUUUUAAAUCGGAAGUAUUAAACUUGCAAUUGAUGUUAAGUAAAAUUUUCUAUUAAAUUUUUAUGUAAUUUGGAUACUUCUACACCAUUGAACUUAAAAACAUGCUACAUCGGCCGUUAAAAUAGUCUUUUUUGAGACUUUUUGAUCGCUUGGUAAAUGAUGCCAAAAAAUUAUAAAAUUUGGUUUCUAGAUAGUUUCAAUAGGAUAGAUUAUACUUAACGGAGCCGAUCGUCGAAUCGAAUAUCCUAUCAUCGAAAAUAAUUUACAAGUAAGGAGGUCUCCAUACUUUCGAAAGUAUAGAAGCCUAACUCUAUAUAUGUAUAUAUAUAUAUACUAAAUUUAACGCCAUCUAACUAACAUGGGUUGAAAAAAUAUAGUGGCUAGAAUAACCACUUUAGUAUAUAUAUAUAUAUAUAUAUAUAUAUAUAUAUAUAUAUAUAUAUAUAUAAAGAGAGAGCGCACAAUUAGCAUAUUCUUGAGAAAUUUGAAUGGGUGAGAAAGUUCUUUAGUCAAGAUGAUAGCAAUUUGAUAGUGUGACGCUACAUAUUGAAUAUUGAGAUCAUGUCGAACAACCAUUAAUUCUUGUACAAAAUAAUAAUUAAUUUUUGAUGAGUUUUGUUCGAGUAUAAAAAUUAGGAUCAAUAUGCGAGCCAGAUUGUACUAACUUUGUUACAAUAAAUAAAAGGUUUGAAAUGUAAACAGAGUGUAUAAAUUCGAUAAGGUUUGUACCUUUUUACUUUUUUAUAGUUGGCCAAGUCUUUGACAAGUCGAUCUAUUGUUUAAUACGAAAUAUGUGUACAGUACUAACACAAACUAUGUCCUGGUUUGAAACGACUACAAGGGCUUUUUUUGCAAAUGACCCUGUGAAAAAAAUUUUAUUUUAAAAAUAGUCCUGUCAAAAUUUAAUUUAUAAAAAUAGUUCUGACCCUGCCACGCAGGCGCCAUAUUAGCGCCACAAGGGCAGGACUGGGGCCAGUGUGUUAAGUUGAACACGGUGAACCAUUUACCGUAUUCAAACAAGGUGAAUGAUUCAUCGUGUUUCCUAUUUAUAUUCCUUUUCUUCUUUUUUAGGGAUGUCAACGGGUCGGGUUUGGAUCGGAUUUUUAAAAAAUUCGAAUCCGAAUCUGAAAAUCAAAUUAAACUCGAAUCCGAAUCCGAAUCCGGCGGGUUUUAAAAAUCCAUACCCAUAUAAUUGUAAUAUAUGGAUAUGGGUAUGGAUUUUUAAAACCCGUCGGGCUCGGAUUCGUAUUCGGGUUUUAAUUUGAUUUUCGGAUUCGAUUUCGGAUUUUUAAAAAUUCGAUGCAAAUCCGACCCGUUGACAUCCCUAAAAGAAAAAAGAAAAAAAAAGAAUAUAAAUAUGAAAUACGGUGAAUGGUUCACCGUGUUCAACUUAACACACUGGCCCCAGCCUUGUCCGCGUGGCGCUGACGUGGGGUCAUUUUUGCAAAUUAAAUUUUGACAGGACUGUUUUAAAAUAAAAAUUUGCCAGGGGGUUAAAUUGAAAAAAAGCCCCGACUACAAUUUUUAAAAGUUUUGAUUUGACUACAUAACAAAAACAAUUCUUUUACACGCAUCACUCGGUUUGCUUUUGUAUGCAUAGCCUUGUGGAGCACCUUCCAGCAUUCCAUUUUCUUAUUAGAAAUUUGCAAAGGCAGUACCAGAAUCUCUUUUGCAAUUAAAAGUAUAAAAAAGGUAAGGUACUAUGGAAAAUCACAAAGAAUCUGUUUAUGAAUUAUGCUUAAUAACAUUCACACAUUUGAGACUAAGAUUUUAAUUUUUAUCAAAUCACCCAAUCCUUUUCCCAUCGAAAUCCCCGUUUUCUUUCUCAUCAAUAUAAAUCUUCUCAAAGCGCCCGAGCGCACACACAGGACCAAAAAAAAAAAAAAAACAAAACAAAAACAAAAACAAAAACAAAAACAAAAACCUUCAGCUUUUGGAAAAAGAGAAAGAAACAUGGCAACUAACUCUACAAUGAAUUAGGUGAAACUGAUGCAUCAAUUAGAAUUUACAAUCCUACUUUGCUUCUCUCUCUAGACCAAGGUUCUUUUGCACUCUAUGAAUUGAAGAGGAUCUACUGCAUAAAUUACAUAACAUUAUACACAAAGGACCAUCCACUACCCUUCCAUCAAGAAAGAGUAGGUGGGAGAAGCUGCCACAAAUUUCACAAACCCAACAACCACCAGACAAUCGCUUUAUUAGCUAUGAGAAGCUGAGCCUGUCUACGGUCCCUGACAGCUCGAAAUCGACGGGCCCCACCACAUCGCUCCCGAUUAUCUUCUCUUCCGCCUUGUGGUUGCUGUUGAUCGUGUUCUGAUCGUUCGAUUCUGCGACGGUGGGAGCAGCAUUGCAUUCGUCAUAGCGAUAACAGGAGAUGAGGUGGUCGUUGGUCAUGCCUGAAGCCUGCAUGAAGGAAUAGACGACCGUCGGCCCGACACGUAGACCCCUCCGCACCAGGUCUUUGCUUAUGAAGUCGGCUUUGGGAGUCUUUACUGGGACCUGACGGGGGUGGCGGAAUCUGCUCACUAUGGGCUUGUAGCUCACAAAGCUCCAGCAGUAUCGAUCAAACGAUCCGAACUCCUCUAUGAUCUGUGCCAGGAAAUGAGCAUGAAGAUAAUUUACUUGGAAACUAUACAUAAAAACUCAUCGCUUUCAUUAAAAAUCCCAACGAGCUUAAAGCGGGUAAUGUUUGCAAUUUUCUGAACGCUAAACAGAAGGAAACCUCAGUAUAAACAAAUGAUUUCCAUUUUACACCCAUGAAAUAUUACAAGCAAUAUAUCUAUUACUCUAAACUACAAGAUGUCAUCACUUUGUCUCAUUCACAAGCGUUCUGUUAGGAGAUAUCUAUCACUUCGCUCAUAGGAUAAUGAGAGUAAAACGUAGCUUUUAAAAUACCAGAGGGCAAUGUGAAAGUCGCGUAUUUUAGCCUUUAUGAAUGAUCAAUCAAGUAAUUCAGAAAGAAAUUCAAAGAUUAAUUAACAAUGCAAGUGAGAAUAGCCCUAGACAAAAUAGGCUCCUUUCCAGACGAAAAUGACGGAAAUUCAAGGCUAGCUGACUAGAAGACAAGAGAGGGAGGAACCAACCUUGACAAUUUCAUGUGCAUUCUCGAUGAUGUGGCGGAGCUUUGUCUCGGAUAAUAGGAAGCUAGCAGGACUUCCUGGUGACAUAAUCUUCUUCUCAUUUAAUUGAGAGACCAAUACUGGAUCGAAAUCCAUAAAGACUUCCCUGUGAAAUAAAUUUAAGCAGACAAUAGGAUUAAAUUACAUAUGGUAAAUCAUCAAGUGGUUAUAUCAGUGCUGAAAAUUACCUGAAUAAGUGUCUCUUGCUAAGAAUUGCUGGCCAUGUAAGUUCAGCUAAUGCACCUGAUAGUACAAGCAGCUCAAACAACUUCCUGUAAUUUAAUGCAGGAAAAAAACAUAAUUUACAAAAAAUAAUUAAGGAGCAUCCAUUGUGAUAGAUUGAGGUAAGAGGGUUGACAUUGCAUACUUAUCAUCAUGCACUGGGACCCCCCACUCUUCAUCAUGAAAUGUUACAUAACAGGGAUCUGUUGCAUGUCAAAUCAAGAUUACAUGUUAACAUUUUUCUAAGGCAACUGCAGAUAAGAAUGGGCAAAAGAUACAAAGUGAUGCUAAGACAGCAAUCUAUUGAAACUUAUGUACCAACCCAUACAUUUAGGGACACUUGCAUUGAUGUAAUUGCAAGUUCGCAAUAAAUCAACUUUAGUGAGAACAGAAAUAUUAGUUACAUCUUCAACCAUGAUAAUGGCAAGGAGAUCUCAUGCCUAACCAUUGGCUUGAUUCAUUGAAAACACCUUCCCAUCGGAAAUGUCUGAGCUCAUGGAAAAUUCCAAAAUGCAGCCUGUGAUUAGGCAACUGUUCUCCAUAAUGUCAUCAUAGCCAACAACAAGACAAGUGUUUCUACUCUUAUAAGACUAGAUUUAUGAACAAAUCACAAUUAGAGCAAUCCAAACACCCACUUAGAAGAAUGAGAGAGAAACUUAUCAGCACCCAAAUCCUGAAGGCAUGCACAAUAAACUUACAUUUGACCCAAGAACAUGUAGAAGAAAAGAUAGAUUAGGUAUUAAAUAAUGAGAGGAACUGAAGGAAGGACACAAGGUGGAGACGGGUGCUGUGUAUGCGGGGGUGUGUUUAAACUGUUUUAGAUGCAAUCAAAAGAAUUUUUUCAGUUUCUCAUGUUUAUCUACAGUCCAAGUACAUCGAACACAAACUCGAAACUGCUCUCUUUGGUAGAAAAGGCAAUAACUUUUACACAAGCCAUGAUAUUCUUUUACUCUUUCAUUGUAAGAGAUGUAACUAAGCUUCAACUCAUUUAAUAUCUUCUCUCUACCUUUUUAUUCCUAGUGUGACAUGUCAUCCACCCAGCCCAUCUGGCCUUGGUUUAUCUCUAAGAAAUCUUCUGAUCACUUGAGGACGAAAAAGGAUGUGUAGCCAUUAACUAUAGAAAGGUCAAAAUGAAUCAGCUACAUUCAUUGUUGCCUUUCACAUACAUAGUGCAGCAAAUAUGCGAAAUUGCACAAAUACCCCUCCAAUGUUGGUAUUUGCAUGUGUAUCCUAGAAAACGUUACUUUUUUGUAGCAUGCCCCUGCCAAGUUACCUACUUGAAAACUUGAUAAAGUGUGCACGGAAAUAAAUAAGGUUCGGAAGCAUGCACAUUUGCAGGGUAUUUGCUCCAUUUCAUACAUUUGCAGAGGUAUAUAUGCAAAAACACCCCAACUAUAUUGCCCCCAUCAAAGUAGUCAUAUAAUUUAUGCAUAGCAAACAUUCAACUACUCAUUUAUCACAAAUUCACUAAAAUAUGGUGUCCCUAAGGAGCAGACCCAUCAGGUAAAUUUAAAAGUGGUAGAGCUAUCAAGAAGAAAGGAGAGGAAUUGAGAAGUCUCAUAUGAAAACAAAUUUAUGAACUUCUCUUUUCUGCGAUAUGAAAAUGGUUUAUGCUGAAUAUCGGAUUGAAAAUCAAAUGAAUUGUCAGAGAUGUUUGACAAAUUCAGGUUAGAAUUUAAGUCAUAAUGGCGAAUAAUUCAUAACUAAUAAUCAAUAUAUGCUUUAACCUCUUAUUCAUUCAUUGAGAGAUUGGAGAAAUAUAUGGGCGUUUUUUAAAUUGCCAUUUGGAUUUGUACCAUGAUGAUUACCAGUAACUUUCAUACAUCUAAAUUAUCAUGUGUUAACAUGUACAUUGUAACAAAAAAGACAGGAAGGUGCAUGUAUUCGAAAAAACAAAAAUUAACAGCAUUCAGUGGCACUCACUGCCAAAAUCUGAUAGUUAUUCACCACAACUAUACCAUUUUGUUUGUUGAUGAUUAAACUGCAUCUAUGUGCACUUCAAAAUUGUCAACAUGCAUCUAACAAUUUUAUCAACGGUGAUACUACUCACAGAACAACACUACUACAAUAUAAACCAAAGAAGGCAUAUCGGUUAUAUCCUCUGCAAGAUGACAUAGUGUCAAACUGUUGCUUAAGUUACAAUCCACAAACCACUUAAUAUACAAAGAAAAAAAACUAAGCAUAUCAAGCUUUCCAACGUCUUUUUCUCUUCCAAUUUACCAUUAUGUAGUAAAGAUUCAUCCUGAAAACAUAAAAAGAAUUUCUCAAACAUCUGCAUCUUCCAUCAAAUACAUGUCCUGCUUCAAUUUGACCAGCUACAAUAGAUACCAUGAGUUGUAUGAUUUGACUAGCUAAAAGUACAAAUAUCAGAAGCCUGACGAUAGAGAUUCUACCAUGUUGCUCCGGUACGACCACGACGUAUAGCCAUAUCUGGUGUAGUAUAGAUACGACUCUUUUAAUUAGCUAUUAAAUCAACUAAAAUGUACUCUAAUCCCACCACCGACAUAUGGUUGUAAUCCAAAAACCCUAUCAGAAGUUUUCAACAGUUAACUCACCAUUUCUAAUUAAAUUACGUUUCCCAGUACGAAAACAACGUUGCAUUCGGAUGCGAAAAUAGCCAAAUCUCUAACUUAUACUGACAAAAUGUAAUGUUAAUUGUUAAUGCAGUAAAAUUUCCACAUUGAAACAUUAAGCACAGGGAGGGCAAAUCAAUUAUAUACGCACCAGUAUUUGGAGUAACCCAAGAACACCUCCUCUUCACCGUCGAGAUCUCGACCGGAGGCACCGACGCACCAUCGGGAACAACUUUCUCCAGCUUAGCCGGGACUUUACUAUCCGACCUAGCGGAGCUCGGCCUCCGCCGGGCCGUGAAGCUCGGCCUCCCGAUCCUCCCCGUUGAGGCGCGGCUACAGAACGAAUCCGUGGAAGCAUCCGAAGAGCAAGAAGCGUUCAAUGAAAAGUUGGAGCGUAGCAGCAGCUCCUGCCUACGCAACACUGAGGGAGCACUUUGCGGCGCCGGCGAAGGCGAAGAGGACUUCUUCUCCUCCGCCUUGUUCGGCUUCGGGGAAUGCUUCCGAGGUAUAGAAGACGAUCUCGCCUUGUUCCCCCCAGGUCCGAGGAUCGGCCUCGCCUCCGAUUCCGCGACAUUAAUGGACCGCACCUUCGGAGCUCCCGUCGACAUCGGAACAAAAAACAAAUCCAAAACCCUAAGAUCUCACCUCCCAAAACCUCAUGGAACACGAAUCACACCUCCAGAUCUCAAAAAACCCACCACAAAAUCGAUCCCUAAAAGCUCCGAUCUCCAUCAAAACCCUAAGAAUGCGAACGUAGCACGAAACCUACCUCCUCUCGAAGCGAAAACCCCAAAAUCGAACGGAGAACAGCCCGACAUUGCGAAAACCUACUCGAAAACACCCAUUCGAGCAUCCAAAUCGCGAGAUUGCGAAGAAAAAUCGCUCCGAUCCUCCGUAAUCCGCGCGUCGCCGCCCCAAUCGAGCGCAAGAAACCCUAGCGGCGAAGGGAAACGCUCGGGGAUUCGAUGAUUCGGGGAGGAGAACGGAGAGAGAGAGAGAGAGAGAGAGAGAGAGAGUGUGAGGUUGUGAGGAGCAGGAAAAAAAAGGGAGCUUUUACUUCGCGAUUUUUGAACCGGGAGGUGACCGGAAGAUCCCGGUCGGGUUAGGUGGCUCGACCGGCUGUAGCCGGUGGCUUUGUCGGGAGAGAACGGCGGGGAACAGCUUCUUCACGCCCUAGGCUACCAGAAAUUUUACCAUGGACCCGGUGUAUAAGUACAUUUCAUACACCAUACACUUUGAAAUUUUUUAGGAUAAAUUUUAAUUUGACUUUUUAUUGUUCCCUUAUUUUUUUACUUUGUCGUUUUAUAGUUAAAAAUUUAUACUAAACAAUCCUAUGUUUAUUGCAUAGCAACGAUGUUUUGCUAAACGUAGUUUUAUAAAAUAGUAAAAUAAUAUAUUUUACAAAUUAUACUAAAAUAUGGAUAAUUGAAUAGCAAAAUAUUAUACAACUUUGCAGUUUUUAAAAAGUAUUAUUUCGGUAUGUUAUUUAACUUUGUUUAAUGCUAAGUAUUUAGGUGAAACAAAAUUUUUUAAAAAAAGCACAUGGCAUUUGAAUAGAACUAUUUUUAAAAAAGAAGUAAAACUACUAUGAGAAAAAUUAAAGUUUAUCCAACUUUUAUUACCGGCGCUUAAAAAUUAUAGCUAACUCAUAUUGUUUAAUGAUAUUUAAAAUGUCCAAGGCUAAAAGUUAAAUAUUUUGAAUAUUAAUUUCUUCUAAAUCAAAAAUAAUUUUUUAUGUAUUAUUAACUUUAUACAUGUCAUUUUUACUUAAUUAGAUUUUAAUUUAAGAUAUAAAUUAUCAAAUAUUACGUGUAAUAUUUUAUUUGUCUGAAUAUGCAGGGUUGUAAUUUUUACAUAUUAAAGCUCAUAAAUGUUAGACAUUAAAUUUUUUUAUAAAUUAGUCCAUUAUUAGUUCACACCAUUAACUUUUCAGAGUACUUAUUGUUUAUAUAUAAUUUUUAAUUACAUUAAAUUAAAUAACCAUAGAAGUUUUUCAUUUUUUGAUAAUAAUUAAUAAGAAAAACUUCAAAUACCACCUCUAUGAUUACACACUUUCUCACUUUAGUACCCUAUGAUUUAAAAUAUAUCAAUUUAGUGCCAUGUGGUUUCAUUUUUAUUUUUUUAUUAUCGAUUUCACUAAUUUUUUUCGUUAAAUUAGUGACAAACUUAAAACUAAAUGGUACUAUAUUGAAUAUUCGAUAAACCUAAGUAGGAUAUCUGAAGUUUCUUGUAUAUAAUUUAACGAAAUAUUAAUGAAAAAGCUAACGAAAAGAUAAAAAUUAAACCACAGAACACUAACUUAAUAUACUUUAAACCACAUGGUACUAAAGCGAGAAAGUACGAAACCACGGGGCGGUAUUUAAAAUUUACCCUUAUUAAUAAAUAUAAAAUAUGGUGUAUGAGAUGUACGAAUGCACCCGGUGCAGCAAUAAUUCCGGGGUGCGAGCAAUAAACGAAUCGAAUCUUUUGCUUUGGACUGUUUCAGUUUUCAUUUUUCUUUUUUUUCAGAUAUUUAGGUUUACUAAACACCCUCGGUGUUGUAAUUAUUUACGAGUUUGCGCACAAGCGUUAAUUUCUUCAAUACCCUUCUAAAAGGGUGUAAUUUCAUUAAUUUCCCUUCAAAUUCGUACCCUUAGGGUUUUUGUUAUAAGUUUUGAAUUUAAGAUUUAGAGGGGUAUUAAUAACAAUUACAUAGAGAGAGAGAGAGAGAGAGAGAGAGAGGGGUAUUAAUGAUAAUUAUAUAUUAUAUUAUAAAUUUUGGAGAGAUAUUUAUAAUAUUUUUAAAUUUAGAAAAAUAGAUCUGAAAUUAUCGUUUAGAUAAAUAGACAGGUGAGAUGUGUUAUAUACACUAUUUUCAGAAUUUAUGAAUAGUAUUGCUCAAGUUCAAUUGUUUUAAAUUUUUACCAUUAUGUGGUGGACUUUUAAGAAACACCAAUUCAAUCCCUUCAAAUUUUAUAAAAGUCUACUUCUGUUGAUUCAAGAGUUCUGAUUUAGGAGCGUAAUUUUUUUUUAAAAGGUGCAUCUUUUUAAACACUUUUUUUUCCUUUUAAAUUUUAUCUGCAUAAAUUUUAAUAUUUGUGGAGCGAAAUUCAAUAAUGGAGAAAAAAGUGUCUCAAAAUCCAUCUCGUGAAAGAAGCGUCAUAAGAAAAUAUAGAGACAUAUUAGAGUAUGUUUGCUUCACUGAAACCAAAAGUAGAGCGUGGAAUUGAUUAUAACCGUAAAUAUCUAUAUUUGUUAUUUGGUUCGUCGUAAAUUAAAUUCGUCUGUAAUUUUACUUUUUCAAAAAAUUGUAAUCGACUUUGUCCCGAACGGUGACAAAACAAAUUACAGAAGAAAAAAUGAUAAAAAUAAUAAAAAAUAACUAUCAUAAUUUUUUUUUUUACCCUCUUAUGUAAUAAUGCAUAAAAUUUUCAUAAUAACAUACAAAGAAAAUGGAACAACUACAAUUUCUGAUUUAUUAACUUUAUAUUAAAUAGAUAAUAAAAAAUAAUUUAUACUAGAGUUUAAGUAAAAAUAAUUUUUAUGUUAAAAUUUUGUUACGCGGUUACGCCAAAUAAACAGUUCUAAGAAAUUUUUUGUAUGGAGCAGUGAAUUGGACACGUGGUGCAAGUUUUGUCCUUAGAAUGGAGUAAAAAAAGAUUUUUUUUUUUUUGGAAAAGCUUUAAAUAUCAUUUCUGUCAUUUCGUAUUUUCUCAUUUUAAUACUCCGUAAUUUAAAGUGUAUCACUUUCGUACCCUAUAUAUAUAUAUAUUUUUUUUUUGUUAUUUUUUUUACUAAUUUUUUUCGUUAAACCAGUGACAAAAUUAAAACUAGAGAGUACUAAAAUAAAUAUUCGAUAAACUAUAGAUGGGAUAUCUGAAGUUUUUUAUAAAUAAUUUAAUAAAAAGUUAACAAAGGACCGACAAAAAAAAAAAAAUGAAACUACAGAAUACUAAAUUGAUAAAUUUAAAUCAUAAUAUAUUAAAAUGAAAUAGUGUGAAACUACAAGAAAGUUAUUUGAAAAAAAAAAAAAUUUUAUUUUGGUUUGGUUUCACUUCUUUUUGUUUUGUUUUUGUUUUUGUUGUUUCCAAAUAAAUUUUUGAAAUGACUAAAUAUUUGGGACAUUUCACACUUGUGUACAAAAAGAUCCUUUUUGGCGUUUUCUUAUUAUCUCCCAUGGGCACUUUUUUUUUUUAUGAGUUACAUUUUUAUUCUGGCUUAUUCUAACGUAUUAAUUUAGUUUUACCAAAAUUUGACUCUCUUUCAAUUCUAAAAUAGAAACUUUAAACUUUAAAAAUUUUAAAACUACUAUCUAAUGUUGCAUUGUCUUUGAGAUAGACAUCUAAAUUUUAAAUAUUUUGAUUUGAUUUAUUGAUCGUAUAUCUUACAAUAUUUAUGAGAUUUUGAUGAAAUAUUUUAUUAGAUUACAGAGUAAAUCAUUAAGAUGGUACAAAUACUACUGAUUUAAUUAGGCCACUAGGUGGUAAAAUAAAAAUAAAUAAAAAAAACACACACACACACACAUUAAUUUGAAGUACACUGCUCAAGAGUACUGUAAAGUUAAUUUGUAAAAAUUAAAAUUUUGCGAGUUUUGAUACCUAUUUCAAAAACUGCUAUUUUAAGUUGUUAACACUUGUAAAUUUUCACCUUUAAAUUGAUUUGGUUCUCGAAGUAUGUGGUUUAAUUAAGGGAAUGUUUAGUUUCUUAAAAAGGAAUAAUUACGUAUAUACCUUUCAAAACUUCGAAAAUAUCUCAUUUAUUUUUUUUUUCUUCUUUCCAAUAUACUCCUCGUGUUCCUCCGUUAUUCCAAAAUAUCCUUCCAGUUACCACCCGUUAAGUUAACUUGAAUUAAACGUGAAUUAAAUAUUUACCACAGUUAAAACAAUUAAAAUAUUAAUUUUACUCUUUAUUUAAGAGCAAAUAAGAAAUAUUGGUGACAGUAGAGGGGUAUAUUUGAAAAGACCAAAAGUCAAAAUACUUUUUGUGCUCCUAACGUAGGCUUCGUUUGGGAUUGCGGAGAGAUUGCAUUACGUGCGGUGGGAAAGUAGGUUGGAAAAAUAUUCUGUUUGGAAAAAUAUUCUGUUUGCUUCCGCGUUCCGCAUAUUGUGAUGAGUCGGUUACGAUAUAUUUUCUGCGGUCCCAUUGGAGAACACAGAAACAUAUCCCUAUAUAUUUUUUCCUCAACUCCAUUUUAUCUAAUAACGUUAGAUAUACUUCAAUACCAAACUAAGCCUUAAUAGCAAAUAAGAAAAGUCGGUGAUGAUGGAAAGGUAUAUUUGAAAGGGCAAAAUAGUAAUUUUAUACAGAUAACAGAGUUUAUUAACAGAUUUUAACUCUAUGGGUAUAUUUGAAAUAGGUUGAAACGUAAAAAAGGUAUUUUCAAUAUUAGCCUUGUAAGAGGGAUAAAUAGAAAGUCAGGAACUUUUCAGAGGUAUAAAAGCAAUUGUCCCUCUUAAAAAAUAUCUCAGAAAAUAAUUUUCUGAUUAGAAAAAUAUUUUUCAUCCAUUUGGUCCUAAUGAAAAAUAGCAUUUUUGAAAAAAAAAAAAAUUUCAGAUUUCAUGAAAAACGCUUGUUUUGAUUUUUUUUUAUUUUUUAUUUGAAAAAUGAAACAUUAGAAAAAAAAGAUUUUUAUGAAAAUCUUUUUUUAAAAUACAGUUUUUUAUGAUUUUCUGAGAAACCAGAAAUUGCCAUGAAUGUUAACUGUAACAUGUGUGACAAAAAAUUAGGGGCUAAAUUAUUGUAAUUAAAUUAUGAGAAUGAGAUUAAGAUAACAUGAAGUUUAAAUGCCAACAUUUUUAAACAUUUCUUUAGGAUAUUGCUAUUAGCAAAGCUUAUUUAAAUUGAGCUACUACUUUUGAAUUAAAUUUCGUCAGAUUUAAUAAAACUGAUGAUAGGUCAAUAAAACUGAUUUUUAAUAUUAAUAAAUAGAUUCAUUAAAUGCAGCUACCUCUCGCGAACAAAAUUUGAAUGAAUUUAAUAAAAUCCAAAUUUAAAUAAUGGACUAUUUGGUUUCUCGGAAAAGAAUUAAAAAAAUGAGAAAAAGUUUUUUAUGAAAACUCCUUUUCAGUUCUCCGCCAGUUUGGUUCCACAAAAACUAAAUUUUCCCUAGAAAGCUUUUUUUUAAAUAUUUUAUAGUAAACUAUUAUUUUCAGUUUCCUAAAAAAAUUCAAAAUUUUCAGAAAAAACUAUUUUCUUUUUUCAGAAUCAAAAACUAAAAAUGAAAUUUUUUUUAUGAAAAAACAUUUCUCAAAAACGCUUUUUUUACAUUUAGCCACCUUAAAAAAAAAUUUCUACAAAGAGUGCUAUAAAUUUUAGAUAUUUGCAAGAUUGGUCAUAUCCCCGUCACGCGAGCGCCACGCGAGCAUCGAUGGCAGUGGAGAUUAAGUUGAACAUAGUAAACUAUUCACCGUGUUGUUUGGACACGGUGAAUGAUUCACCGUGUUCUAUUAUUUUUCGUACAACUACGUGAUAUUUGGAUGAACUAUUCACCGUAUUCAAAUAUGGUAAAUGAUUCACCGUAUUCAACUUAAUAUUCAUCACCGCUCACGUGACGCUCGCGUAGCGCUUACAUGACGGGAAUACGACCAACCUUGCAAAUAUAAAUUUUACAGGACUAUUUAUAAAAGAAAAAAAAAUACUGAGGGACUAAAUAAAAAAAGAGCUUCUCAAAAGACUUUUUUUUUUUUUUCCGAGAAACUAAAUAGCCUUUACGAAAAAUGCUAUCCAUACACUCAUUUUGGAGUAUAAAUCAAACACCCGAUUAAUUUAAUAGAUGAAAUUUUUUUCCCUGAUCAUAUUAUUUAUUAUUAUUAUUAUUUUCAAAUUCUUCCAUGAAAGGGUUGUGUCACCAAAAAAUAUUUUGAAUUCGAUUAGGCUGGGGCCCACCAUGGCCAAAUCCAAGAUGCCCGACCCUGUCGGCGCGGACUCCGAGGGAGUUGUUAAAAACUAUUUAAUUUAUAUUUAAUUUAUUUUUUUUGCGAAUAAUUUGCGCAAUUUUUGCUCAACGGUUGGAGAGGGGGUCGUUAGAGCAGGUAGAGGGAAUAUGUAAUUACGUGCUUUUUUUCUUUUUUUCUUUUUUUCUUUGUGUGUGUGUGUUGUUUUCAUUGUAUACAUACAUGCACUAGGGAGUAAGUUUACUGUAUUUGUAUACGUAUGUGUCUUAUACAUUGCACUUAGGGCGCGUUUGGUUCGCACUAUAAAAAAUUAUUAGAAAUAAAAAGAUGUCCGAGAAUUUUAUUUCUAUUCAUUCUAUUAUUAAAAAUGUGGUAUUCUUAUAUUUGGUUCGCACGGUCAUAUUAUUUAGUCAUGUUAUUUAAAAUUACAAAAAAAUAUAAUUUAUUUAUUUAUUUAAGUUUAAAUAAUAGUAUCAAAAAUUUCAACAUUCUUUUAGAAAAAAGGAAAAGAGAAUAAAUGUUAGAGAGAGAGAGAGCAAAAUUAAAGAAAUAGAAAGAGAAAUAGAGUCGAGGUCAGAGAAAGUGAGAGAGUUGGGAUUUAAAAAAAAAAAAAGAUCACGAAGAGAGAGCUUAGUUUAGAGAGAGAAAGAGUUGAAGUUUGGAGAGAAAAAGAUAAGUUUAGAGAGAGAUAUGAGGUUAGAGUGUAAAGAAAAAUAAUACCAACUAGUCGGCAGGUAGGGAGAAAGAAAGCUAUUAGAUAUUUUAUGAUUACUCAAAAUCAUUAAUACGAGGAUACCCACUCUCUCUUAAGGAAAUGGGAUUAGUACUUUGUAUGAAUUUCAUUCCCAAAUAAAUCGAAUUCUAAAUAUCUAAUAAUCACAAAAUAGGUAGUACCAUACUAUUAAUAAUAUUUCAGUAUAAUUAUAUAAACAAAUAUAAUAGGAUGAGACAGCUAUAUGGUUUUUUAAACUCCUGUAAGACGAGACAGCAAUAUGGUUUUUAAACUCCUGUAAGACAAGACAACUAUAUAGAGUUUUAAAAUGCACAAUUAUUUUGAUGUCUCCAUCAAGAUAUGAUGGGGAAAUAUGUACUAGAAUCUUAUACAUCUAUAUAAUUGCCUAAUAUUUCAUAUUACACGUGAAGGUGUUUUGUUAGCUUGCUCUUAAAAAAAGACUCUUUAUAAUAAAUAAUCUUGCAAAAAGAGGCUGGACAGGUAAUACAUCUUGCGUGUUGUGUGGGGCCGAAGUUGAAAAUAUGGACCAUUUUUUUUCUCGAUGUGUUCUUACUCGUUUUCUUAUUGUGAAGUCUGUGGAGGAUGCUCUCAAUACGGAUCUGGAUGACGACGUGGGCUCUCUUUGGGAUAGGUGUUUGAUCGGGAGUCGUUUGCGUCCAUUCAACGAUUGUUUGAAUGGCUUAAUAUCUUGCUGGUGGGUUACUUGGCUGGCUAGGAAUUACACGAUCUUCUGUAAUGUCAUACCGAAUCCCAUGUUAUUAGUCUCCAAAAUCAAUCUGCUCACGAACUCUUGGAAACAGGCUUACUCGACUAGUCCAGUAGUCUCCGGUUUUUUUUUUUUUUUUUUCGUGCCAUGUCUCGCUGGAGGCCUUGGUUGCUUCAUCUCUGUACUUUAAUUCAUUUCUUCAUUGAAUGAAGUGGGUAGCGUGCUACCUAUUUCUCAAAAAAAAAGAAAUUUCAUAUUACAAGUAGACAAAUUGCAUUAAUUUAAUUUGUCCAUUCACAAGUAUACAAACUUUUUUUUAGAUAAAUUUAGAUGUGCAUCAAGAUCUCCGCAAGCUUCAGCUUCGAGAUGCUCACCUCUGUGAUGCACAUAAUUAUUAUUGGAAAAACUUCAAAAACCCCCCUGUGGUUUUGUAGUUUCUGACUUUGUCCCUCUGUGGUUUAAAAUGUAUCAAUUUGCCUUUCUGUGAUUUCUUUUUUCUCUUUUUCUUAUCAAUUUUAUUAUUUUUUUUCUUAAAUCAGUGAUAAAGUUAAAAUUAAAGAGUAUUAAAAUAAAUAUUUGAUAAAUCUAGAUGAGUAUUUAAAGUUUUUUGUAUAUAAAUUAAUGAAAUAUUAACGAAAAAACUACCGAAAAGAUAAAAACGAAACCACAGGAGGGCAAUUUGAUACAUUUUAAACCACAGGAGGGCAUAAACCACGGGGUUUUUUUUGAAGUUUUCCCAUUAUUAUUCCCAUUUUGUCAAAGCUCAUUCGUAAAUUUGAUUAAUAGUUUAUUUAUAUAAUAUGAUUUCGUAGCUUGUCAGUCGUGAAUUUACUAAAUUCUAUAACAUCGUGGACGUAUUUAUCAACUUACGUACGAGGGUUAAUUCUCUUUUCUUCGACUAACUCAUCAGAGAUGUACUAAAUAAGAUGCAUGUUACGAUGUCCACUUUUAUAUACACUUUUAUAUACAAAUGUUAUGCCAUGCAUGGAGAUUUAUAUUGUAAAUAUUAAACUUAUUUUCCUAUCUAACCACAAGAAAUAUUAAAACUAAUUAACCAUAAGUGGAUCGAUCAAUUAAUAUAGAAUGAUUUAUGAUUUUUGGUAUACUCCAACUCAUCUAGUUAGUUAGUAGGCCUCCAAUCACAACACUAUUCAUCUCUUGCCAAUUAGGUCAUAACCUUCUUAAUUAAUUGUUUUGUAAUGCAAAAUUAAGCACAAAUAUCAAAGUUUUAAACAAGUAUAUAUAUAAAGCUCAAUUAGGUUAUAUCUAGUAAUCGUUAGUUAGGGCCUAAUUAUACUUUAUUAAUCUCUAAAAUAUGCCGACGGUUAGGUGUAAGAUGAUCGUCAAUGAUGUCAGAAAAAGUUUUAGAUUAACUGCUAAUAAUGGAAAGGUUAGGUUUAAGAAGAUUGAUUUGUGUUAAACAAGUACUAAUGUAGGUAAAGCAUUGGUCUCAAGUCCCAUUAAAGUAGAGCCAAGUUAAAAGGAUUGAUCGAAUCGAGUACGAAGCACAGUCACAAUGUUCCUCAUGCAUUUAUUAAAAAGUUCAUUAAUGAUUUAUGAUUGUUUAGUUGUUCAUAUUUUCUCUGAAUCAUCCACUAGCAUAUUAAUAGAGCUAUAUAUAUCCAUAUUUUAGGAAAUAAUCAAAGUUUAGGAACUUAUUAAAGUUUCUUUGGUAACAAAAAAUUUGAGAUAUCGUACGUUGUUAUCAUAUAUCAUAAAAUAAAAAUAUAUAAAAUUUAUCUGAAUUAAUGAUCAUUUUGAUUUGACAAUUUAGUCUUUCAAAAUUUUAAGUUUAGUAUCCAGUCUUUUAUUUUAUUUUUUCACUUAGUCAUUCCGUGCCUAUUUCGAUACAAAUUUAAACUAAUUACUAAUUACUUUAAUGAAUUUGUAGUAAAAUAAAUUGCAUAAAAUGUACUAAUAAAUCUAUAAAGAUAAGUAAUAAAUUUAAAUUUUGAAGUUAAUAGGUCAUUAACCGGUUCGAAUUAACUAAAUUAAAAGAACAAAUAGCAAAAUUAAAAUUUUUAAAGAAUGAUUACUUAAUUCAAGUAAAAUAACAUUGAGAUAAGCCCUAUGUAUUUUUACCUACAUAAUGAUAAUAAACAAGUUGGGUCACUUUCAUGAUUAAGAACCCUAUGAGGAAGUAAUGGACCAACUGGAUCUGACAUGCAGGUGAGGCUUUAAAGCUUUACUUGGUAGGGGGUUUGAAUCAAGAAUCAAAUACCUAUUCCAUAAAAAUAUAUAUGAUUUUCUAUUUCAUUCUGGCACGUGUGUGUUUAUAGCUAAGCUACUAUACUUUCAAAAGUAUGAAGGUUUCUGUACGUCUAAAUAAUUUUUGAUGAUGUUUUAUCCGACUCGGCAAUCGGCUCUGUUAAAUAUAAUUGAUAAUGUUAAAAUUAUCUAGAAACUAGCUUUUCUAAUUUUUUGACUUUGCUUAUCUAAUAAAUAAAUAUCCUCAAAAUGAACAGUUAAAAAUAAAAAUUUUAUAAAAAAUAGUGAUAAUAGGUUUAAAGUUUUAAAUCGAAAAUAUUAAUCUUACUCUUGAUGACAAAUAGAAUUUUUUGUUUAGGUUUUACCUAAUUCGGAUUGUUUACAUCGUCGAACUUACAAACGUACCACCUCAGUCAUUAAAAUAGUUAUUUUUGAGAAUUUGGCAAACAAUGUCAGAAAUUAUAAAAUUUAGCUUUAGAUAGUUUUAAUAGCGUAAAUUAUACUUAAUGUUGCAGAUUGUCGAAUCGUAUUUAUACUUAAUGUUGCAGAUUGUCGAAUCGAACGUCCUAUCAUCGAAAAUAAUUUGAAAGUAAGGAGACCUCCAUACUUUCGAAACCAUUUAUCUUGUCACUUAUGUUGUUCCAGUGCACUGCAUAUUAACUUAUGUUAGCAAGAUAAUUCGACCGUCCCAUAAGGUUUGUAAGGAUUUUGAUCUUUUUCGGAGACUCCGUCAAAAUUUUCGUAAUUCUAUUUUCAUUUUAGAUGCAAGUUUAUCAAAAAAAUCGUAUUCGGAUUCGGAGUGCCAGGACUAUAAAUAUUGUGAGUGUGACGAAGGAAAGAGACACCCCCUCUUCAACUCACAGAAAAAAAUAAUCUUUUACACAUAUAUUCCAACUCCAGAGGAUUUUGGAAUAACAGUACGGCUGGUAAAUGAGCGAGCCAGCUCAUGUUUAGCUUAGUAUUCAGCUUUCACAAGCUGGCUUGAAAUUAAAUAAGUCGGUUUUAAACAGGAAAAAAAAACUCGAAAUUUAUUUCAAUCCGAGUUUGAGUAUUACAGGGCUCACUCAAAUUAGACUUGAAAAUGUGAUGCCCCAACUUCCCAGGGGGUUACCCAUCCUAAGACUACUCCCAUCCUAGCACGCUUAACUCUCUUAACCUCUUGGGCCUUACCACCACCCAAAAUGCUUAAGCCGGGUUAAGAGUUUAGCCAUAUUAUAUCUCAUAUAUAGGACUAUCUGGGGUCUCACAAUCUCCCCUCCUUUAAGCCUUGACGUCCUCGUCAGGCUCAGACUCACAAGUAUCAGGCGAUGUGAGACUCAUCUCGCUAGCCCGUCAUCCAGACCCUGGCUCAGCUGAGACUCAUCUCACACUUCCGACUGGUAAUUGGCUCUGAUACCAUCUGUGACGCCCCGACUUCCCAGGAGGUCACCCAUCCUAGGACUACUCCCGUCCUAGCACGCUUAACUCUCUUAACCUCUUGGGUCUUGCCACCACCCAAAAUGCUUAAGCCGGGUUAAGAGUUUAGCCCUAUUAUAUCUCAUAUAUAGGACUAUCUGGGGUCUCACAAUCUCCCCUCCUUUAAGCCCUGACGUCCUCGUCAGGCUCAGACUCACAAGUACCAGGCGAUGUGAGACUCAUCUCGCUAGCCCGUCAUCCGAACCCUGGCUUAGCCGAGACUCAUCUCACACUUCCGGCUGGUAAUUGGCUCUGAUACCAUCUGUGACGCCCCAACUUCCCAGGGGGGUCACCCAUCCUAGAACUACUCCCGUCCUAGCACGCUUAACUAUUGGGGUUGUUAUUGGAUUUAUAAGAGACUUAGACACUAGUAAUAAUAACUGGGCUUAAGCAUUUUGGGCCGGUGGUUGGGCCCAACGAGUUGGGGUUGUCAUUGGGUUUAUAAGAGACUUAGACACUAGUAAUAAUAACUGGGCUUAAGCAUUUUGGGCCGGUGGUUGGGCCCAACGAGUUAUUAUUGCUAGUGGGCUGGAUCGUUACAGUUGGUAUCAAAGCCGGUUCACCAGCUGGACAUGUGUUGCGAGUCUUGGCUGAGUCAGGGUCUGGAUGACAGGCUAGCGAGACGAGUCUCACAUCGCCUGGUGAUCUUGGGCUAUGUGUAUGAUUGGACUGACGAGGACGUCAAGGCCUUAACGGGGGGAGUCUGUGACGCCCCAACUUCCCAGGGAGGUCACCCAUCCUAGGACUACUCCCGUCCUAGCACGCUUAACUCUCUUAACCUCUUAGGCCUUGCCACCACCAAAAAUGUUUAAGCCGGGUUAAGAGUUUAGCCCUAUUAUAUCUCAUAUAUAAGACCUGUCACGGGUCGAUUGUUGGGACUCGACCGUGACACCUUCGGGGGCCAUAUUUGGUAGGCACUUGGGUUGACGAAGUUAUGGAGUUGCGGAGUUGAGGCGUUCCGUCAGGUAGGAGUCGCCGUCAAGUCAACGAAGGCAAUUCCCUAGCAAUGGCCCGUGCCAUGACAUGGAAAUAGGUGCCGCAUGCGGGGUUGGAAAACGUACCCCUCGGUGAGCACCUUCGUACCCCCGAGGUGCCAAAGGAGUGGAUGCCUCGUAAGGGUACUAGAGGAGGGGUGGACACUUCGUAAGUGGCCCUCGACUCCCAUAGGUUCGCCUCAUAAGGCCCCAUACAAACGAACCGGCCUCGCUCCGCAUCGCUAGCCACUGGCCCCUCCUUGGCUCGACCACGCCUGGCCGCUUACACCAUUGGUCCAGUCUCUCAAGGUUCACUAUACGGAUACCGAUACCGCUCGCCUCCUUGGGUUUCGCCCCUCGAGUCUCGUAGGCUACCCACCAGGCGAUGUAAGACUCAUCUCGCUAGCCCGUCAUCCAAACCCUGGCUCAGCUGAGACUCAUCUCACACUUUCGGCUGGUAAUUGGCUCUGAUACCAUCUGUGACACCCCGACUUCCCAGGGGGUCACCCAUCCUAGGACUACUCCCGUCCUAGCACGCUUAACUCUCUUAACCUCUUGGGUCUAGCUACCAUCCAAAAUGCUUAAGCCGGGUUAAGAGUUUUAGCCCUAUUAUAUCUCAUAUAUAGGACUAUCUGGGGUCUCACAGAAAAGCCCGAAUAUAUAUUGAGAGAAAUAUAAUAUAUAUAUUAUUUUAAUUAUAGAAUAAUAAUAUAUAAUAUAUAUUAUGUAUUUUAUUUAUAUGUACAUAGAGUUUUAGUUAUCAAACAUAUUUGCUGGCCCACAAAACCAUAGCAGCAAAAUUCUACUAAAAUUACUCUCUCUCUCUCUCUCUCUCUCUCUCAUAAUCGCUUCUGCUAAAUUAUUUUUCUUAAUAUUAUAAUACCGUAUUCAUGCAUUUUUUUAUAUGUUGAACUAUUAGACAUUUUUUUUUUAUCAAAUUUUAGAUAAUAUUCCAUAAAAAUUAAACUAUAAAUUGCAUAAUUUUAAGAAUUUUAAGUGGCUCGUUUAGGACUCGAGCUCACUCGACUCGAAAUUAGGCUCGUUUGAGCUCGGCUCGAAUUAAUUUCAAGCCAAGCUUGAGCCUAUUUCAAACCAAGCUUGAGCUGAAAUAAGCUCGCUCAAGCUCGACUCGUUUCCACCCCUAAGUAACAAUAGUUCUCUAUUUUCACCAAAAGUAGGAGUAACUUCGGUAGUUUUCAGUAGCAGCAGUUUCGGUUAGUUUAGUAGUUGUAGCUUUGGUGGUUCAUUUUCUAAUGUUUUCAGCCAUUUUGGAAGUCUAAACUGAAACUCCAAGUUCUUGAGGUGCUCCAGCUUCAGUAGGAGGUAACCGAGACCAAUUCACCCAAGUUCGGCUCCAUUCAAGCGUUCAAUUGUAGCUUACUUUAAGGAGAGUCAUUCUAGAACAGGGAUGUCAACGGGCCGGGUUUGGUUCGGGAUUUUUAAAAAUCCGAAUCUAAGCCUGAAAAUCAAAUUAAACCCGAAUUCGGAUUCGAACCCGGUGGGUUUUUAAAAUCCACACCCAUAUCCAAACCCGACCAAUUACUCGAAACCUGAACUCGAAAAUCCGAACCUGAAAUAAUAAUUUCUCUUUAUCAUAUUUCAAAAUAUAUUAUAGUAAAAUCAAAAUUUUCAAAAUAAAAUUUUCAAAACACAAUCAAAUACAACAUUAAAACAUUCAUGCUAUACAAUAUCAACAUCUGGAUAAGAAAAGCACAAAUUCAAACAGUUAAAGACAACAAAACAUUCUUUAAAUACCUAAUACAAUCUCUAGAUAUCAAAAUGUUAUAUAAUUUAUUCGGGUUCGGAUUCGGGUUCGGUCGGGUAAAUGCAAAAUCCAUGCUCGUAUCCAUAUUCGUCGGAUUUUUAUUUUCUAUACCCCUAACCGAAUCCAUAUCCAUUUAGCUCGGAUAAACUCGCUCCAUUCAGGUUCGGGUUCAGGUUCUCAAGCCAAAAAACUUAAGUUCACAACUAUUACAACUCCUUCACUGUCUUUUUUUUUUUUUUUUUUUUUGAGAGAUAGGUAGCAUGCUAUCCGCUUCGUUUAUUUCAUUUAGAAAUAAACUUAGCUAAAAAUGUGAAUCAAUUAGGAUUUGAAUUUGGGAUCUCGGGUAUCAACCACCAAACCCUUUGUCACUUGCACUAGGGACGGUCGGUACUCCUUCAAUGUCAACCAAUAAUUUUUAUUUUGUUUUCUUUCGGCGAACAAUUUUGGCACGCUCGAUAGGACCCAUUGCAAGAAACAUAUCUUGACCUUAGCAUUAAUGAUGAACACAAGAAACAGUUAGAACAACGACUACAACAGGUCGAAGAAUGCACUACUUGCGGAGUUGCACGAGUUAAGCGUGCAUGCAUGUACACGUGAUAAUUAUUUUAUUAUUUAUCUUAAAUCAACAUAAAUUUAUGUAUUAUAUCUGAACGAGUCUUAAACAUGAGGAUUGAAAAUGUCCUCGGAGUCCAAUUCGGUCUGAACAACAAGAAAAAAAAAAAAAAACAGAAGAAAAAGAAUAAAAGUGAAAAGAAAAUAUAAUAAAAAUUAUAAAUUCUAAUUGUAUCUUUCAUGCUCUGAAGCACAACAUGUAAUUUCUUUUACAAAAGUAUAUGCUAUUGUAAAAUAACUUAUAUUUUAUUCUGUUCGAGACUUUUGAUGCAUUUGGAUUAAAGUUGAUUGAUUUUUUUUGGUUUUUUUUUUUCGCAUUUCACAUUUUUUUUUCUUCAAAAAAGAAUAUUAAAUUUAUACUAUAUUUCUUCUAAUUUUUUUUUAAAAUUAGUUUUAUUUUUCUCUUAAAAUAAUAAUUAAUCCUUUCUUUUAGAUUGUAAUCAAUCUAUAUAUUUGAUCCCUUUUUAAAAAAUUUUUAAAUUAAAAGAUCGACUAAAUAGGUCUCGGAGCUCCAACAAAUUGUUGGAGCCCCCGAGGCUCCAACAUAUAUUUUUUUAAUAUUUUUUAUUGAAUACUUUAUAUAUUUAUUUAUAUAUAUUAGCUAAGUGUACAUACAAAUACACGUGAUAAUUAUUUUAAUAAUUAUUUUAAAUCAACAUAAGUUUAUAUAUUACAUUUAUUUAAAAAUUUAUGAUAAAAAUUUAACUUUUAAAAAAUUAAAUUCAUUUGUUAUAUUUUAUUAGAAAAUACCUAUCAAAUUCUAGCUUAAAUUUAAAUGGUUGUUGCCGAUAAUAAUUAGAUAAUUUUAUUUUAUUUUUUAUUAUAUUAAAUAUUUAUGCAUAUUUUUCAAAUUCUGACAAACUCAAAAUUGAAAUAUGCGUUUUAAAUUAAAAGAAUCAAAGUUUUAAUUCACCUUUAACUCAUAAUUUAAAAUUUAAUUUUGAUCCACUUUAAUUAAAAUUUUUCUUUAUUAAUUCUAAUUUUAUAAGCAAAACUAAAUUUAAUUUAUGAUAAAGUCAAAUUUUAAUUUUAAUCUAAAAUUCAUAAAUUUAAGUUUAAGUCGUAUAAUUAAAAUUUAAUUUUAAAUUUAAGAUGAAAUAAAAAUUUAAGAUCAAAUAAUAUUAAAAUCUAAAUAUAUAUUUGAUAUUAAACUCAAAUUUGAUUGUCGAUUAUAAUUAAUAAAAAGUUAAUAUAACAACUAAAUAUUAGUAAAUAAUAUUGAGAUAAUCUAAAAAUAUUUACCUAAAAAGAAAAGAUAUAGAAUAAUAUAAAAUAUUUAAUUAAAAAAAUUAUUCGCACCGACCGUUCCUAGGCAUGUGACAAAGUAUUUGGUGAUUGAGAUCGGAAGUCCAAAAUUCAAAUUCUUGUUGAUUCACAUUUUCAACUAAAUUUAUUUUUUUAAAAAAUAGCAUGCUAUCAAAAAUAUUUUCCACCAAAAAGUGAGUUUGUUCAUUUCUUUGUUAGUUAAUUCGCGAAUUAUUGAAAAUCCGAAUUGAACGGUCUGUCUAUGAAUUUUUUCCAAAGAAAAUGAAUUAUUCGCGAAUUAUUCCCAAAUUAUUAAAAAUCUAAAUAAAAAAAUAUAAUUUUUUUAUUUAAAUAUAGAUCUUAUAUUUUAUAUCAUAUAUUUUAUAUUUUAUACCGAAUUCGUUUUUUAAGCCGAAUUUUUCAACAAAUUUAAAAAUUAGAAAAUAAAUUUUAUAUGUAUUAUACCCGUAUUGAAUUUUUGUCGAAUUCGAGAGGGUAUCAACUACCAAGUCCUUUGCCACUUGCACUAGGGACGGUCGGUUUUAGUGCUGGUAAUUUUAUGCACUAAAUAUGAUGGAUUCUUCAUGCAAUUGCCACACAAGAAACUUUUGGGCCUUGAUCCAAUGGUGUUAAUGGACCUUGCUUCAUGUAUUAUGAAAAAAUAUUGCAUAUACUUGAUAAUUGAUAUCUAAGUUUUCAAAUUUGAAAUUUAGUUGUUUUAUACUUUUAAUUAAAUUUAUUUUUUAAAAAAAGUAAGUGAUGCAGGUAUUUUAUAUAUAUCUCUUUCUUUUAUAUAAGAAAAACCUUGCUCUAUAGUAGAAAGUAGGGGAAACGAGCGAACACGAGUAGGCUGGGGUCGGCUCGUGUUCGGCUCGUUUAAUAAAUGAGCCGAACACGAGCCUGUUAAAGUAUCGACCGAAAAAUUCAGCUCGUGUUCGGCUCGUUUAAAACGAGCCGAACACGAGCUGGUGACGAGCUGGCACGAACAAUAAAUUAAAAAUAAAUAAAAUUAAAUAUAUAUAAAAAAUAAAUUUAUAAACUCUUACAUUUAGACUUUGAUCUAAUAGUUGAAACUUUACAUAUAAAUGAGUCUUUUUAUAAUUGAGCUCGCAUUUAUAUUUUUAUUUUGCUAAAAAUUAAAUAAUAAAAAUAUAUAUUAUAUAUAAUUAUUUAUUUAUAUAUAAAAAUAUAAAUUAAAUAAAUUAUAUAAAUAUAAAAUAUAUUAUAUAUAAUUAUUUAUUUAUAUAUAAAAAUAUAAAUUAUAUAAAUUAUAUAAAUAUAAAAUAUAUGUAUUCGAACUGUUAUCGAGCCGAAUACUAGCGAGCUGAAUAUAUUUAUCUCAAUAUAUUUAUCUCAAUAUAUUUAUUUAACGACUCUUUGUUCGACAGAAUUAAUCUGGGGGAUAUUUUAAAGCGGGUUAUUAUUUAAAGUAUUUUUAAAUGUAAAAUUUGUUAUAUUACUUGCAAUCUCUAUACAUUAGUUUUGCCACCAUAUUACGAGCACAAGCAUUGAUACAGCUCGUAUGGAAUAUCAUUUUUAUAUAAUAUCGAUAUCUUAACAAUCAUUAUAUGGAGAGUUUUGAUUUGCCUGAUUGGUUGAUGAACGUGUAUUUAA
rnacentral:lncRNA from 1 species